rnacentral:lncRNA from 1 species
UCUUUUUUUCCUAAUAUCUACCUCUCUCUUAAGCAAGUAUCAAAUACAAGCAAGUUAUUAGCAUUUGCAACCUUUAAGAAAGCAAUCAGAAUGGAGAACGCCAAUACAUUCAAGAACACCAAUCUAGAAUGUCUUUGCACUUCUCCUACUUAGUUAAUUCAUCAGGGUUCCAAUAACCCUAGUUAUAGGGUUUAGCUACUCAUGGUUUCAAUAAUAAACAUAGAUUUUAUAGAUAAUAGUUUAAGGAUAAACUUAUAAAGAAUAAUAUUGUAAACUCAAAAUCUCAAAGUAAUUGUAAACCCUAAGAACUAGGAACAAUGAUUCCAAGAUCAAUAGCAUAUCACAGAACACUAAAUAAUGUCAAAAGUGUGUAAAGUUUUUAAACUAUUGUAAAAUAGUCCAAAAAAUCAUAAAAACAUCUAGGGAUAUUAAUAGAUAAAAAAAACCUAUCCUAAAUAGUGUAGGAAAGUAGAGUCGGUACCAACCCAUCUAUCAUAGGUAGGAUCAUAGGUACAACAUACUUUUGACAACAAAUCCUUCUCUAUAUUACCAUUUACUCGAUUGCAACCAUAACCUUCUUCAUUAUUACCCCACCCAACUUAGAGAUGGCCUUUACCAUUUAAAUUUUUUCUCCUACCUCUACCAACAAAAAUCACAACCUUAGCCUGCUAUGGCCAUAUAACCAGUCUAUCUUGGUAGACACUUGAUGAGUGGUGAAUUUACCACUCAUUUGCAUCCUAAAUUCGUGCACACUAAUAUAAUUUAAAGGUAUGAAUCAGACAAGUGUGCUACAUAAAUUCAGUAAUUUUCACAUUUUGUAGGCACACAGGUGAUGAGAUAGAAAAAUGUGGAUUUGAGCUGAAAAAGGAUAAAAAGGAGAGAAAAAGUGCACAGUUAAAGACCCUACACAAAUCAAGCUCAGUUACCGCAAUCGUGGUGUAAGGCCGUAAUUAUGACCAAUCAAGAUGGGCCAGCCAUCACGAUCGCAUGGAUUUGAUCACAGUCAUGGUAGCCACGAUUAUGACAAAGCUGAUGCGAUUGUGGCAAUGCUUGAAUAGGUCUAGGGGCAGUUUUUUAAUUUUUAACAUCCUACCCUAAAUACUUUACAAGUAUCAAACCCUUUCUCAUUUUGGUAUUACACACUCUGGAGAGUAAUUGAAUUUGAAAAUAUAAACCCUAAUUUGGGUAAUAAUUGUAUUUGGAAUUUCAUGCUUUGAAUUUAAUGAAAUUGAAGGAUGGAUGUUUUUAUUGAACCUUAUGGUAUAUUUCGUUCUCUUUACUUAAUGAGUAUCUAAAUAUCUUUAUCUUGACAUUAUAUUGAACUAAGGUAUAAUUAUGUGUGGUUUGUUAUGUAUUUGUGUAGAUUCUAAUUUUUGAUGGGUUUCACUAUUGCUUGAUUUAAUUAGUUGGGAUUUGUAGAUGAAAACUCCAAAUUCCCAAAAUGGGUUUGUGGGUGAAAACUCCAAACUCUUAAAAGCUCACAUCAUCCUUGAUAUAUGGAUAUGGGUAAACAUUUGGAACCCAUGCAUCCUUGAAAAAGGGAUAUGGGAAACUAAGCAAUAGUGGACAAUAAUGGAUGUAGUUUGCUAUUUUUUUACCAUCUUAUAAAUAAGGGUAAAUAGAGAGUGGCUAUGUUUUAGGUAUCUUCCUAGAAGGAUGCCCAAUUGAGGUAAUAGGUGGCUUUAAUUGAUAUACUCGUUAGGUGCUCGAAAUGAUCAAUGAGUGAUAUCCUUGAGGCUUUGUUAACAAACUAGCCUCAAGGACCUUCAACCUACCUUAUCACAUCAUUAAUGACUAGAAUUACACUAAAUCAUCAUGCUCCCGUGCAUAACUUGUCCUUAGGUAGACAUAAUCCAAAUAUCCUUCUAAUAUUGAAUUUUCAGAUCACAAGUGUUAUUUUAGUGUCUUGGCCUGAUUAGAUAUUGAUCAAACCUUGUUACAAAUCAAACCCCCCAAUUUAAAUUAUUGUUUUUACUUUAUUUACACCUCAGGUAUCUUUUUAGUAAUUGUUAACACCCAUAGGACUAGAAACUUAAUUUUUCUCCUCGUGGAUUCGACCUUAACCUAAGUUAAGCUAGUGAAAAUGACCGCCCUAUACUAAUUUAAAAGGUAUAGGCAAGCGAUAUCAAAAUGAAGGCUUUGCCAGGGAGUGAAAUAUAAUUUUCACUUAUGCGGUGUUGAUUCUUACUUAAGGUAUAGCCGUAGUGGUGUGUAUUUUUUUGGUUGUUGUUUUUGUUUUCUUCUUAGGUGAUCUCCAUAGCAUACACAAAACUAUGCAUGACAAUGCUAGUCAAGUCGGAUCUUUCGAUAGACCUCUUGAUGAUGAGGAGAAACUCAAUAAUAUUGGACAUACAAGUGCUAAAUGUAUCCCACCAACUCAUGGGAAUGAAGUCUUUCAUGUCACAAGCGUAAUGUUGCAUAUGCUCCAAAGGAAGAGACUAUUUUGGUGGCAAGAUUAUGAGGACCCCAACUUCUAUUUGAAGAACUUCAUAGAAGUGUAUGUACCCUUUGAUAUUGCUCAUAUAACCCAAGAGACCAUUCGACUUUGUCUCUUCCCAUUCUCUAUAAUGAGAGAGGUAGUAUUGUGUCUUCGAUCUCUUCUAGCCGGAUCAAUCACUUCAUGGGAUAAACUCACCAUGGUCUUUAUUGACCGAUAUUUCCCACCAUCCAAAAUGCUAUAAUUGAAUGAUGAAAUCAUGAUAUUCAGGCAAUUGAAUGGAGAAACCUUGUACAAGGUAUGAGAAAUAUUUAACAGAAAACUUAUGCAAUAUCCCAACCACAAGGUCCUGGAGAAGAUAGUUCACCAAAUAUUUUUCCAGGAUCUUGAUCCACUCAACAAAAUCAUGGUAGAUAAUGCGCCGGGGGGCUCUCUUGUGAAUUUGACUUAUCAUGCCACUUCAAAUUUUCUUGAGAAAGUUAACAAGCAAAACAGUGGGUGGCAUACUCGGGAUGCCGAGGUACCAAAAGGAUCUUCUCCUACCUCCAUUGUUGACAAACAACAAUGAAAGGGAGAUAAGAAGAGAGAAAGGAGAAUAUGACAAAAAUAAUGACUCAAUUGGAGCUUUUGAAAAAACAUAUGAUGGGUGAACCCACAAAAACUGCGAAUGCCAUGGCAUCCAAGGCCUAUGAUGAUGACGAGGCCAAGAAGCUUUAUGAGGAGAUUGGGUAUUUGGCCAAUUAUUCAGAGGGUUCCCACCUGCCUAUCAAAGGCAAGGCAGGAAACAUAGUUGGAACAAAAGGGAUAGAGAUCGUGACCAUGAUUGAAGGGAUAGAGACUGUGACUAUGAUCAUUGUGUGUCUCCUUAUAAUCGGUAAAAGAAUAAAGAAGCCAAUCCCUUCGACUUCAACAAAUACAAAACCAAAGAUAUCUUGGCAAGAAUAUUAAUGAAAGUGUCGAGAACAGACAAGAUGUUUGAUGAAAGUGGAGGGAACAGACAAGAUGGUCCAUGAAUAUAAAGGCAACUUUUUGCAACUCAACUAAAUAGUUGUGUCCCACUUCGCUUCUAUCAAAAAAUUGGAAAUGCAAAUUGGAAAAAUCUCCACUCAAUAAAAUGCUAGACCAAAUGGGGGUCUUUCUAGCAAUACUAUUGUGAACCAAAAAAUAAAUCUCAAAUAUUAAAAAUUGUUUCUAGGAGUGGCAAGACUCAUGGUGAUCAUUUGAAAGAAGUUGAGGGAGAGAAUGUGGGUGAAAAAAAGCUCAAGAUUAAGCACAUGAGUGUGAAUAAAAAUCUUAUAGUUGAGUGAAAAUAAGUAACUCCAAACUCUCAAAGAGGGGAUGAAGAAGACCCGUUUAUGAUUGAUGAAAAAGUGGAUGAGAAUAUUGAGCCACAAAGUGAUAAAUUGACCACCAUACAAAUACCCCUUAAUUUCCACAAAGGCUUAAGAGGAACUAGGAGAAUGACAAGCUCAAUAAAUUCAUGAUUAAGUUUAGCAACCUCUCUAUCAAUAUCCCAUUACUUGACGCUAUCCAAGAGAUCUCGGGGUAUGCUAAGCUUAUUAAAAAAUUGAUGUACAAGAAGAAGCUUAUUGAAGGUGACACCAUAAAAGUCACCCAUGGGUGUAGUGCUAUUAUUAGUAUAGAAAUGGCAGAAAAGAAAGAGGAUCCCGCAGCCUUUACCAUUCCAUGCACAAUCAGGACACAUAUGUUUGAUAAAUCUCAAUGUGACCUCGGUACAAGUAUAAAACUCUUGUUAUUUGUAAUAUAUAGGAGAAUUGGCUGAGUACCCCUACACCAAUGUCAAUGAGGCUUUUGAUGGCGUACCGGUCUAUCAAAAAAUUAGUUGGCAUUUUGUUUUAUGUGUUGGUGAAAGUCGAUAAAUUCAUACUUCCAACGGAUUUUGUGGUGUUACAUUGUGAGAUGGACCAAGAGGUGCCUAUUAUCCUUGAUCGACCUUUUCUUACUACCAAAAAGGCCAUUGUAGAUUUGGAGCUUGGGGAAAUGCAGUUUAGAGUCCAUGAUGGUAAAGUGUCACUCCGGGUGGGGAAAAUGGAGAAGCAACCCAUGGAACUUAAUGUUGUACCGGUGAUAGGUGUUGACAAUGAGAAAGUGAAGAAUGGGUCCCUUGAGGAUCCAACUUUAAGAAGAUGGAAGACGUCGUGCUGCAAUGAUAACUAAGGUGCAGUGUGGGAGGCAACCUACAAAUGCCAUGAAAGUAGUUCGUAUCCUUUAUUUUUAAUUUGGUAGAGUAGAUUUUAAUUUUUUGUAAUUGAUCUAUGCAUUUUUGCACUAUAGAGUGAUUUAAAUAAGUUUGACAAAAUGAAAAGUGUGAAAUUUUUAGAUGAUGAACUGAACAGGGGAAAGUGUGUCAAAUUGAGAAAUAAGCUGAACAAAGGAAAUGGAGGAGCAGAAAUGUCUCCAUUACAGUGAUCGCGGACCUUGGACUGUGAUCAUGGUCACCCAAGUCACCCCAAUCAUGGUCAAAAUAGUUUUAAAAUACCAUCGGACUCCAAUUUCCCACGCACUCCUUUCUCAAAUUUUCUCUAACAUUGCACCCACUCUUAGGAACAUUUUAGGUAUCCAAAAGCAUUAGAGAAUGCCUCUUUCAUCAUCCCCUUCGGUAAGUGUCUUGAAUGCAUGCUAAAAUUAUUUUAAAAAGGCCAUAAAAAAUGUUACAGGGAAGGCAUAAAUCUAUGAUUUUUGUUGAUUGUUCUAUGUUGAAAAAAACUUGUGGUGAUUAGAUGCGAUAAUAAGGUGUUCACACAUGUAGGGAAGUCUUAAGUACUCAAAUUGUUUAUGAAAUUAAGUAAAAUGAAGGGUGUACACCAAGUGCUUGAUCAAAUGCCCAAACGAGUCAUAAAUAUUUGUUUUCACAUUCUAAGGUCAUAAUCGAGUACCUCGUAAUUUUGUUUAGUGAUUUUAGUGUUAAUCCUUGUUUGGGAACAUGUUCUUGCUUAGAAUUUAGAGUUCUAGACUGAUGAAAUUUAUGUUUUAAAUUACUCUCAGAUAUCGCGAUCACAGUUGUAAUACCCCGUAUUAAACUUAGCAUAGUUCAGCGCAUAGUGCAUGUAUAAAAGGCUUGGAAUUUGAAAAUCUAGCUUAGUGUUGGGGACAUAGUUUUAUAUUUUGGCCUCUUAACUUUGAUGAUUUUUAAAGUGACCUUUCCAACCCUGAGACGUAAGUUUUUGAGUUAAUUCAUUUUUAGGGGUGUAAGGAGCAAGUCUCAGGGAAGUUUAUGAUUUUCAGACGAGGAUUAAGGCACAUUUAGAUUUCAUUUCCAGAACCUCACUGUGAUUAUGGUGCGUCAAAGUGGGUAUAGCGGUGAGCAUGUUACCGUAUUACAGUGCCCUUCCAAACUAUAUUCUAGUAAUGAGUUUAAUCUUCUGAGGGGAAGUUAGGUCUUUUCCCACCGACUCAAUUCGUAAAAACAUAAGAUUAAACUUCUGUUAAGGCAUUAUUUGACCAUUCUCUUUCAAUUUUCUCUCCAAAAAACCCUAACCUCCUCUCAAGAAUACCAAAACUCUAUUACUUUCUCUUCAAAAUAAGAAAGAAUUUAAGUUCCUAAUACAAGAAUUCAAGAAAAGCUUUCAAGAACAUCUUCAAGGCUUUAGAAAUCAAGGUUUAUCCAUCAUAUCAAGUCUAUUAAGGUAUGUGGGGUUAUGAACAAGCGUAUAUUUUCACACUUUUCCCCAAAUUGUAUUAUUUUAAGAUUUUAUUUACUUGUUUUGAAGUAGGGUUUAUACCCAAGUUUAUACAUUCUUGAAGCAUAUGAUUAUUGUGAGAUUUAAAGCUUUAAGUAUAUCAAGAAGUGCUUAUGUUUAUGUUUUUAACUUACAAGAUUUGUAUUAUGAAUGUGAUUGCACUAUCUUGACUUGUUACUCUAGAAAUAUUUUAGUAAUUAAAUUGAAGCAUGAAGUUUUGGUAUGAAUUACCAAGAGUUUAAAAUAUGAAGUUUUGGUUCAGUAUAGGGAUCACUCUAGCUUAGGCUCUAUUCCGAUGUCAAGAGUAGAACACUCUAGCUUAGGCUCUAUUCCGAUGUCAAGAGUAGAACAACUCUCCUCAAUGUAGAUAAGAUGUUGGACUCCAUGAUAGCUCCCAUGGUUUAUGUCGGUUAGAAGAACCUCCCAAAAGAAAGAGUAAAAGUAAAGCUUUUAGAAACUAAGUGUGUGGUUCACAAAGUUUAUUCAAUAUGCUUUAUGAUUUAUAGUUUAUGAUUUUUCACUUUUUAGUUCUAUUCAGUACCAAGGUGAGUCAUUUACACUUAGCAUGAAUCAUUUUAAAGUAUAUAUAUAUACAUAAAGAUUCAGUUAUUGUUUUACAUAUGCAUUCACCCCCCACAUUCUCAAUAAAUUCCAUAAGUACUGAUCCACAUAUAUGUCUAUGUAUUAUAUUGUCUUAUAAUAUUGGUCCUGGUUCUCAGUUCCAGUAGCGCGAUUGAUUACGAGCAUCUCCACCUACAUCCUGAUGCUUGGUUAGUCCUCAUAGUUUGAGGAACUAUUUUAUCAGACAUGCUAUUGAUGAAGUAUUUUAGCUAUUUAUUUUUUUUAGUUCGAGUCAGCUGACGCUUGUCCUAGUGGCUUUCUAGUUAGAAGUAGAGACUUGUUCGACUGUUUAUGUUAUAGACUUAAAAUUGUUUGUUUUAAAGAUUUCAAAGUUUAAGACUUUCAGUUAAGACAUUAAUUCAGUUAUUUCAAGAUUUCAACUGUCAAGUUAUCUUUAUUAUGAGUUCCAAAGUUUUUAUAAGGCUUAAAGAGUUAGCUUGGGACUACUUAUAGUCUUGUACACUGUGUGAUGUCUAGGGUGUUUAUCCAUGGUGUUACAAACUUGAUAUCAGAGCCUAAGGAUUUAAAGAACCCGAGGCAGUCAGACAAGCCAUGUUGCAUAAAGUCUUGAUCAUGGGUAUGAAGCAUGCCACAUUUAUAAGCAAGAGGCUACAGAAUAAGUUAGGAAUCAUCAUUUCUUUCAUGAUCUAUAAUGCUUAUAGUUUUAUCUAUGUACUUUAACUCAUGCUUUAACAUGAUAGAAUAUGCCUCCUUACUGAGCUAAUGCAUGCAGAAAUGGUGACCAACCACUCCUGCCUAUCGACCCUUUGAAUGAAAAUAUGUCUUAUACUAAAUUUCAGGCUGCCUUUAAGGCGUUGGCCCAAACUGUGAAUGCCAAUAUUCAGGGUAACUAAUAGGCGAUGGUCCUACUUUAAUAGAAUAGUAAUUUAGCUGCAGCUAGGAUUUGUGACUUCAUAAGAUUAAAUCUACCUGAGUUAUUUAGGUCAAAGGUUGGUGAGGAUCCACAACUUUUCAUUAAUGAGGUGAGAAAUAUCACUCAAAUUAUGGAUGUUACUGAGAAAGAGAGUAUAGAAUUAGCAUCCUGUAGGCUGAAGGAUAUUGCUUAUGAUUGUAUUAUUUUAUGUAAGGAAGGUAGAAGUAAUAAUACAGCUCUAUAAGUUGGAAGGUGUUUUAGGAUGCAUUUCUAGAUAAGUUCUUUUCAUGUGAGAUGAGGGAAUCUAAGGUUGAAGAUUUCAUGAACUUGAGGCAGGGAUCGAUGAUAGUAAAAGAGUACUGCCUUAAGUUCACUCAGUUGUUUAAGUAUGCUCCUGAGUUGGUAGCUGACCCUAGGUCUAGUAUAAGUGAGUUUGAUACUGGAGUGUUCGAUUUGGUAGUCAAGGAGUGUAGGAAUGCAAUGCUUAUUAAGGAUAUAGAUAUUGCUACGAUGAUGACUCAUGCUUAUCAGAUUGAGCUAGAGAAGUUGAAGGGAAGAGAGAAGAGAAAUAAGAAUGCUAGAACUAAAUAGUUUGAGUAUGGUCAACCAAGGUCAGGAGGGAAAACAAUUUAGAGUUUUAGGGUCAUUUAUCUAUGCCAGCGCUAUCUUUAGCUAGUGCCCCUGCACCCAAAACCAAGAUGGUGCAGUGGGGCAAGACUUUUAUAUCUAGGUCUCAAAGUAGUGUAGGUGGAAGGCCUAGUUAUCUAACACGUGCCAAGUAUGGCAGGAACCAUCCUGGUGAGUGUUUGAUGGGAAAAAAGGGUUGUUGUGGAUGUGGAAAGUUGGAUCACUAAAUUAAAGAGUGUUCGUAUGCUAAGAAAAGAAGUAAGGAUGUUCGCCCCUAAACUCAUGCUACUAGCGCACCAUCUCCACCAGGUCACUCAGUUCCUCCUCAGGGUGCAUCAUCCAGUACAGGUGGUAGUCAGAGCCAGAAAUAUUCUAUGAUUUAGUAUCCUGAUAGGAGCAGGAGAGUUCACUAUAUGUUGUUACUGGUAUGCUUCUUUUCUUUCAUCUUGAUAUAUAUAUAUGUGUUGUUAUACCUAGGGUUAAAUCUAACUUACCUGACUCAAUUGGUUAUGGUAAAUUUUAGGAUUGGUCCUAAAAAUCUCUCCAAGUCCUUCCUAGUUUCCACUCCAAUAGGUGAGUUAGUUGUUGCAAGAUUAUAAUAGCAGAGAUAAUAGAGUUAGAGAUGGUAGAUUUCAUUUUCAUUCUAAGUAUGAAUUGGCUCCAAUCAUGCUAUGUAUCAAUAGAUUGUCGCACUCAUAAGGUGAAGUUUCAAUUUCCUGACGAGGUAGUUUUUGAGUGGAAAGGUAGUUCUAAAUCUCCUAAGAGUUAUUUCAUAUCUUAUCUUAAGGCCAAAAAGUUGAUAUCGAAAGGGUGCAUUUAUCAUUAAGUCUAAUUCAAAGAUACCAAGUUCCCCAAGGUUUUUCCUAAAGAUUUGCCUGGGGUACCUUUCAAUAGAGAAAUAGAAUUCAGUGUUGAUUUUCUUCCUGAUACUUAGCCCAUCUCCAUACCUCCAUACCGUAUGGCUCCGUCCGAGCUUAAAGAGUUAAAAGAGCAUCUUAAAGACCUCUUUCAUAAAGGUUGCAUACAAUCCAAUGUUUCUCCAUGGAAAGCUUCAGUCCUGUUCGUGCGUAAGAAAGAUGGCUCUCUCCAAAUGUGCAUCGACUACCACCAGUUGAAUAAAUUCACAAUCAAGAAUAAAUAUCCUCUUCCUAAAAUUGAUGACUUAUUCGACUUGCUCCAAGGUGCAAUUUAUUUCUCUAAGAUAGACCUCAGAUCUGGCUAUCAUCAACUUAGAGUAAGGGAAUGUGACGUUCCAAAGACAACCUUCAAAACCCGUUAUGGUCAUUUUGAAUUUUUAGUUAUGUCCUUUGGAUUAACAAAUUCCCCAAUAGAAUUCAUGGACUUGAUGAAUAGAGUGUUCAAACAGUACUUAGAUAUGUUCAUCAUGGUCUUCAGUGAUGACAUCCUUGACUAUUCCCUUAGUGAGAGUGAUCAUGCAGACCAUCUCUGAAUCAUGUUGCAAAUACUUAAAGAUCAUCAGUUGUUUGAUAAAUUCAGUAAAUAUGAGUUUUAGCUAAGGUCAAUAUCUUUCCUUAGACAUAUUAUUUUUGGUGAUGGCAUUAGAGUUGAUUCUCAAAAGAUUGAAGUAGUGAAAAACUGGCCCAGACCUAUUUCCCCGAAAGAUAUCAGGAGCUUUUUGCAUUUGGUUACUGUUACCGAUGGUUUGUUGAUGGAUUCUUGUCUUUUGCAUCCCUCAUGUUUGUAUUGACUCAAAAGAAAGUCAAGUUUCAGUGGUUAGGCUCUUGUGAGAAGAGUUUUCAGAGGUUGAAGACUCCACUCACAUCAACCUUAGUUUUGAUGCUACCUAAUAGUACAGAUGGAUUUGUUGUUUACUAUGAUACUUCUAAAGUUGGUCUAAGUUGUGUUUUGAUGUAGAGAGGUAAGGUCAUAGCCUAUACCCUUAGACAACUUAAACAUCAUGAAAAGAAUUAUCCUACCCACGAUCUUAAAUUAACAGAUGUUGUUUUUGCCUUGAAAAUUUAGAGGUAUUAUCUUUAUGGGGUACAUGUUGAUGUGUUCACGGACCACAAAAGCUUGCAGUGUGUGUUCUCGAAGAAAGAUUUGAAUAUUCGUCAGAGAAGGUGGUUGAAUUUUUUGUAAGAUCAUGACAUAAGUGUUUUAUAUCAUCCGAUCAAGGCCAAUAUAGUGGCAUACGCCCUUAGUAGACUGUUUAUAGGUAGUGCUGCUCACGUUGAGAAUGAUAAGAAGAAGUUAGUUCAGGAGGUUCAUCAGCUGGCUAGAUUCGGUGUUUGGUUGGUGUAUUUAGCUGAGGGCAGUGGUUGGGUUCAGAAUAGUUCAAAAUUUUCUUUGGUUUUUGAGGUGAAGGAGAAGAAAGAUAGGGAUUCUAAUUUGCUUAAGUUGAAGGAGUCAGUCAGAGAUUAGAAAGUAAAAGUUUUCUCCCAAGGGGGAGAUGGUGUGUUGCGAUAACAGGUUAGACUGUAUGUGUCGUGUGUUGAUGGUUUGAGGCAGUAGAUUUUGGCGAAAGUGCAUGGUGCGCGUUACUCUAUUCACCCAGGAUCCACUAAGAUGUACCGCGAUUUGCAAGAAAUCUAUUGGUGGAGUUUCAUGAAGAGGGAUAUUUUAGAGUUUGUAGCUAAGUAUGCUAUCUUUCAGCAGGUUAAGGUUGAGAACCAAAGGCCUAGUGACACUAUGUGGGAGUUCAACAUUCCCACUUGGAAGUGGAAAGAGGUGAACAUGGAUUUUGUGAUAGGGUUUCCCCAUUCACAUUAUCAACAUGAUUCGAUAUGGGUUAUUAUAGAUUGAUUGACCAAGUUAGCCUAUUUCUUGCUAGUUCAUACUUUGUAUCUAGUCGAGGAUUAUGCCAAGCUCUAUAUUAGAGAGUUUAUUAGAUUGCAUGGAGUUCCUUUGUCUAUCAUUUCAGAUAGAGGUACACAAUUUACCUCUCACUUUUGGAAAGCCUUUCAGAAGGGUCUUGGUGCCUAAGUUUAUCUAAGUACUACUUUUAUCCUCAGAUAGAUGGUCAGGCAGAGAGGACCAUUCAAACCCUAGAGGAUUUGUUGAGGGCGUGUGUUCUUGACUUUGAAGGAAGUUGGGAUGAUCACUUGACAUUGAUUGAAUUUGCGUACAAUAACAAUUAUCACUCCAGUAUUUAGAUGGCUUCGUUUGAGUCUCUCCAUGGGAGGAGAUGUAUAUCUCUCAUUGGUUGGAUUGAGGUAGGCAAGACUGUGUUGAUUGGGCCAUAUGUGGUGUUUAAAGUUGUGGAGAAAGUUCAGUUAAUUCGAGAGAGGUUAAAAAUAGCCUAGAGUCAUCAGAAAUCUUAUGCAGAUGUAAGUAGGAAAGAUCUAGAGUUUGAGGUCGGUGACUUGGUUUACUUGAGAAUCUCUCCUAUGAAGGGAGUGAAGAGAUUUGGCAAGAAAUGGAAGCUUAUCCCUCGAUAUGUUGGCCCAUAUAGAAUCUUGAGAAUUUUAGAAAGGUAGCAUAUGAGCUUGACUUGCCUGUAAAUUUGGCAUCGAUACAUCCAUUGUUUCAUUUAUCCUUAUUAAAAAAGUGUAUUAGUGAUCCAGCUAUUGUAGUUCCUUUAGAAAGUACAGAUAUUCGAGAUUGCCUUUCCAAUGAAGAAAUCCUAGUUGAAAUCUUUGAUCUUCAGAUUCAAAGACUAAGGAACAAAGAAGUUCCCUUGGUCAAAGUUCUUUGGCGGAAUCAGUCCACUGAGGGAGCCACUUGGCAAACAAAAGAAAAUAUGCAAACCAAGUACCCUUACUAUUUCUCCACAAGUUCAUACUUAGCUUAAUGUAAUAGUUUUCCUCAGAUUAUCUAUUUUCCAUUCUAAAUUCUAGCUUUUUAUAAUUAUUGUCAUCUUAUUUCAUGCAGUAACAAGUCAUUUUAGUCAUACAAUCAUGUUUCCAGUGGUACAAGUUAAGUAUAUAAUCUGAGUAAUCUCAACUUAAUCCAUCUCAUUAGAGGACGAAUGUUUCCAAGGGGAGUUAUUAUAAUACCCCAUAUUAAACUUAGCAUAGUUUAGUUCAUAGUGUAUGCAUAAGAGGCUUAGAACCUGGAAAUUUAGCUAAGUGUUGGGGACUUAGUUUUAUUUUUUUGGCCUCUUAAUUUCGAUGAUUUUUAAAGUGACCUUUUGACCUCGAGACGUAAGUUUUUGAGUAAAUUCAUGUUCAGGGGUGUAAGGAGCAAGCCUUAGGGAAGUCUCAAAUUUUUUGGAUGAGGAUUGAGGCACGUUUGGAUUUCGUUUCCAAGACCUCACUGUGAUUGUGGUGUGUCGUAGUGGGUAUAGCGGUGAGCAUGUUACUGCAUCAUGGUGCCCUUGCAAAUGACAUUCUAGUUAUGAGUUGUAUCUUUUAAGGGUCAGUUAGGUCUUUUACCACCAACUCAUUUCAUAAAAACAUAAGAUUAAACGUCGGUUAAGGCAUUAUUUGCCCAUUCUCUUUCAAUUUUCUCUCCAGAAAACCCUAACCUACUCUCAAGAACACCAAAACUCCAUUACUUUCUCUUAGAUAAGCAAGAAUUUAAUUUUGUAAUCAAAGAAUUCAAGAAAAGCCUCCAAUAUCAUCUUCAAGGCAUUUAAAGUCAAGGUUUAUUCAUUAAAUCAAGUCUAUGUAGGGUUAUGAACAAGGGUAUCUUUUCACCCUUGUACCCAAAUUUCAUGAUUUUAAGAUUCUAUUUACUUGCUUUGAAGUAGGGUUUAUACCCAAGUUUAAUACAUUUUUGAAGCAUGUGAUUAUCAUGAGAUUUAAAGCUUUAAGUAUAUCAAGAAGUGCUUAUGUUUAUGUUUUUAACUUACAAGAUUUGUACUAUGAAUAAGAUUGCAUUAUCUUGACUUAUUAAUGUAGAAGUAUUUCAAUAAUUAUAUUAAGCAUGAAGUUUUGGUAUGAAUUAACAUGAGUUUAAAACAUGAAAUUUUGGUAUGAAUUACCAUGAGUUUAAAGCAUAAAUUAUAAGCCAUAAGUUUAAGUGUUGAGAUUUCAAGAAGAUUAUGCUUUUAAGCAUUCUAUGACAAGCUUAUAUUAAGAAUUAAAGCCAGAAUUGAUCUUUUGAUCCUUAGAUAAGACAUGGAAUCCACAUUUGCUCAUUUUUAUUACAGAUUAAAGUAAAGAGAAACACAAUUGGUUUUCAUUAUGUAAACCCUUAUGCUAUUUUAAGGUGGAUUUCCUAUAGUAUGAGCAUACAUAUAAUAUGAGAGUAGUAUUUAGCAUUGAGUUGAGUAUGAGUUCAAGGUCACAUACCACCGAACUACCACCACCAUAGGCUCUAAUACCUCUAGUGAGUUCAGUAUGGUGAUCACUCUUGAUUAGGUUCUAUACUGAUGGCAAGGGUAGAACAACUCUCCCCAACGUGGGUAAGACAUUGGACUCCAUGAUAUCUCACAUGGUUUAUGUCGGCUGGAAGAACCUCCUAAAAGAAAGAGUAAAAGUAAGGCUUUUAGAAACUAAGUGUAUGGGUCACAAAAUUUAUUCAGUAUGCUUUAUGAUUCAUGGUUUAUGUUUUUUCAGUUUUCAAUUCUACUCGGUCCCAAGGUGAGUCAUUUACACUUAGCAUGCAUCAUUUUAAAGGAUAUAUAUAUAUAUAUAUAUAUACCUAAAGAUUUAGUGAUUGUUUUACAUAUGAAUUCACCCCCACAUUCUCAAUAAAUUCCAGAAGUACUGAUCCACAAUUAUGUCUAUGUACUAUAUUGUCUCAUAAUAUAGGUCCUAGUUCUCAGUUCUAGUAGCGUGAUUGAUUACGAACAUCUCCACCUACAUCCCGAUGCUUGGUUAGUCCUAAUAGUUUGAGGACCUACUUUAUCAGACAUGCUAUUAAAGGGUUACGGUUUUUGGCAUGACGGUCCAUCACUGAUACGACAGUACGUCACCCUCGCUGUCUCGACUUGGCAGACAAACACCCCUAUGGUAAAACUAGAAUAACUUUUUACUGCUAUAUAGAUUAAGGCGAAACCAGUGGUAUUGGAAAUAUAAUUCCAUUAUCUAUAUAUUGGUGGAUCAUGAGCUAAAAACUCAGUAACACAAAAUUUAUUCUCAUUUAAAGUUGACUAUAGCAAUAUUCUUCCCAAGAACUCAAUCGGUAAGAGAUAUUUUGACUUGUCUAAAAGCUAGAAGUUGUUUAGUCCUUAAUAUACAUUCAAAUCACUCAAAAAACUGCCAAAGCACUAUAUUUGAUUUUCGAAGAGCUUGAAGCAUGGUUAUAACAUUUUUUUGGAUUCUUGGGCUAUUACAAUAUCUCCCCCUUGGGAUCAUUCGUGCCCAAAUUAAACUGACUGAGUUGCUAUAAUAGUAGAAACUGUAAUUUUUUUGCACUAAACACUUGUAAGUUGAAUCAUGACUAAAUGACUGAAUCUCAAUACAUGAUGUACAGACUAAACUGAAUUAAUGAAUACAUGCUACUGCAUACUACAUAAGAAUAGCUACACAGCUGAGAUAGGAAAAAAGAGAGUCAAUUUAAGAGAGAACAUUACCUUAAGUUGAAUUUGAAUUCGUAAAGAAAAUAUGGGGAUAUUUGGCUCGCAUAUCCGCUUCUGCUUCCCAAGUAGCUCCCUCAAUGGAUUUAUUUCUCCAUAGAACAUUAACUUAAGGAAUUCUUUAUUCCUCAACCUACAAGGAUAUCAACUAGGAUUUCUUCAUUGGAGAGACUUUCUUUCACCUUCAUACUGUCUAAAGGCACGACUGAAGCUAGGUUGCCAAUAUAUUUAUUUAACAAAAAGACAUUAAAUACCAAAUACAUUAAUCCCAAAUCUACAGGAAACUCUAAUUCAUAAGCUACCUUCCUAAAACUGCUCAAGAUUUUAUAAGGGCCAACAUAGUGGGGAAUGUGUUUCCCCUUCUUGCAAAAUCUCUUCACUCUUUUCAUAGGAGAAAUCUUUAAAAAAAAACAAGUCAUCAACAUCAAAUUCAAGAUCUCUUCUCCUCACAUCUACGUAAGAUUUUUGAUGACAUUGGGCUGUCUUCAGCUUCUCUCAAAUUAACUGAACUUUCUCUAUUGCCUCAAACACUGAAUCUGGCCCUAGCAAAGAAGCCUCACCUACUUCAAACUAACCAACAGGAGAUAUAAACCUUCUCCCAUAGAGAGCCUCAAAUAAAUCCAUCUGAAUAUUAAAGUGAUAACAGCUAUUGUAGGCAAUCUCAAUCAAAGGUAAGUGGUCAUCCCAACUACCUUUAAAGUCAAUAACAUAGGCUCUCAACAUCUCCUCUAAAGUCUGAAUGGGCCAUUCUCCCUUACCAUCUAUCUGAGUAUGAAAAGUUGUACUGAGAUCAACUUAGGUCCCAAGACCCUUUUGAACAUACUUCCAAAAGUGGGAGGUAAACUGAGUACCUCUAUCUAAAAUGAUAGACAAUGGAAUUCGAUACAACUUAACCAAAUCCCUAAGAUAAAACCUGGCAUAAUUCUCAACUGAGUAUGAAGUAUGAACUGGCAAGAAAUGAGCUGACUUGGUUAUUUUAUCAAUAAUAACCUAAAUCAAAUCAUGGUAACAAUGUGUACUAGGAAAUCCUAUCACAAAGUCCAUGUUUACAACUUCGCACUUCCAAGUUAAGAUAUUGAACUCUUGCAAUAUACCACUAGGCCUUUGGUGAUCAACUUUAACCUGCUGACAAUUUAAACUCCUAGCCAUAAACUCUGCAAUAUCCAUCUUCAUACCAUUCCACCAAUAGAUUUCUCACAAGUCACAGUACAUCUUAGUAGCUCUGGGUGAAUAGAAUACCAUGCACCAUGCGCUUCCACUAAUAUUUGCUACCUCAAACCAUCAACACACGGAGCACAUAACCUUCCCUAAUAAUAAAGCAUACCAUCUCUCCCCUAGAAGAAAACUUCCACUUUCUGAUCUUUAACUGUCUCCUUGAACUUAACCAAACUGGGAUACCUAUCUUGGUUUUCUUUCACUUCGGCAAUAAAGGGAGAUUUUGAACUAUUCUGAACCCAUAUACUACCUUCAGCUGAAUCAACUAACCGAACACCUAAUCUAACAAGCUGAUGAACCUCACCGACUAACUUCUUCUUGUCUACCUCAACAUGAGCAAGAAUACCAUGGACAAUCUACCAAGGGAAUCUUCCACUAUAUUGGCCUUGCCCGGAUAAUGCAACACACUCAUAUUAUAACCUUUUAACAAAUCAAGCCACCUUCUCUAAUGAAGAUUUAGAUUCUUUUGUGCGAAUAUGUACUGUAAAUUAUUAUGGUCCGUGAACACAUCGAUAUGAACUCCAUAAAGGUAAUGCCUUCAAAUCUGUAAGGGAAAGACAAAAACUACCAAUUUAAGAUCAUGGGUUGGAUAAUUCUUUUAUGGGGUUUAAGCUAUCUAGAGGCACAGGCUAUAAACUUAUCUCUAUGCAUUAAUACACAACUAAUACCAACUCUAAAAGCAUCAAAAUAAUCUAUAAAUCCAUCUAUUCCAUCUGAGAAAGUCAAGACAGUAGCGGAAGUGAGUCUAGUCUUCAACUCCUAAAAAUCUCUUCCUGCAGGAAUCUGACCACUGAAAUUUGACUUUCUUUUGAGUUAGUCUCGACAUGGGAGAAGAAAUACAAGAAAACCCUUCAACAAACCAUCUGUAAUAGCCAGCUAAACCUAAGAAACCCUGAUAUCUGACGGGGAGAUGGGUCUAGGCUAGUUUCUCAUUGCUUUAGUCUCUUGAGGGUCAACUUAAAUGCCAUCAUCAAAAACAUGUGGCUAAGGAAAGCUAUUGAUCUUUGCCAAAAUUUGUACUUACUGAACUUAGUGCAUAACUAAUAAUCUCUAAGGGUCUGCAACCUAACCCUUAGAUGAUUUGCAUGAUCAUUCUCAUUAUGGGAGUAGACAAGGAUAUCAUCAAUGAAUACUAUGACAAACAUAUCCAAGUACUACUUGAACACCCUAUUUAUCAAGUUCAUGAAAUUUGUAGAGGCAUUUGUUAGUCUAAAAGACAUGACUAGGAGUUCAAAGUGCCUAUAUCGAGUUUAUAAGGUUGUCUUUAGAAUGUCACAUUCUUUGACUCUAAGCUGAUGAUAGCCAAAUCUGAGGUCUAUCUUAGAGAAAAAACUUGAACCCUAAAGUUGGUUGAACAAGUCAUCAAUCCUGGGGAUAGAAUACUUAUUCUUGUUUGUGACUUUGUUCAACUAAUGCUAGUCGAUUCAUAUUCUGAGAGAUCCAUCUUUCUUGUGUAUGAAUAAAAUAGAGCACCCUAUAGGGAAAUACUAGGCUUGAUGAAACCCUUAUCUAAGAGUUCUUUCAACUGUUCUUUAAAUUCCUUAAGCUCAGUUGGAGCUAUUCUGUAAGUUGGAAUAGAGAUAGGCUAGGUAUCUAGAAGGAGAUCUAUUUUGAAGUCUAUCUCCCAUUCUGGAGGAACUUUGGCAAUAUCUUCAGGGAAUACAUCAGGAAAUUCAUUUACUAUCACAACUGACUCAAGACUAAGAGUUUAUGAAAUCGAGCCUCUGACUCGGACGAGAUGGUAAAUACAACCCUUGGAUAUCAUUUUUUGUGCUCUAAGAUAGGAAACAAACUGACAUAUAGGUACUGAAGUACUACCUCUCUAUUUGAUAACUGGUUUAAUAGGAAACUGAAACUAAAUGACUCUAUUUCUACAGUUAACUGAGGCAUAACAUAAGUGAAGCCAAUACAUAAUGAGAAUGACAUCAAAAUCAGUCAACUCUAACUCAACAAGAUCAACUAAAGUAACUUUCUAAGACACUGUGACAAGGUAAUUUCUAUAUACCCGUUAGGCUACACUGGACUUACCCACUGGGGUAGAAACUAAGAAAGACUACUAAUAUUUUUGGACUAAUACUAAAAUCUAUAGCUAUUUAAGACUUGUAAUGUACCCGUAACCAUAUCAGGAGAACUUUCCUGAUCAUAUUGAUUCUAAAGAGUAUAUAAUAUAUUCUGGAGUUUCUCUAUGGUUGCACAAAAAGUGGUACCCUACUGAGUUGGGUGACCAGUUACAACUAUAGGAUGACUGGACUGACCCUGAAGACCAUCCCUUAGUCAAUCCCUAACCCUAUGUCCUAGCUUGCCAUAUCUAAAUUAUACAUCACUACCAAAUUUUCACUUACCCUGGUGAUUCCUACCAUAUUUCUUACAGAGAAGAUUUGUACGACCACUUUUCAUACCACCCUGGGUCUUAGAGCUUGGCGCUCUAUCCCAAUUAUCCUGCUUGAAAUUAGGCGCUGGCAUACUGGCUGAAGAUAGAGCUAGGGCUGAAAACUUUUGCAAAUCUGAGAAUGGUUACUGCUUUCUGACCUUGGCUGAGAAAAGUUAAAAGUACCUAUUCUGGUCUUCUUAUUCUAUCUCUCUUUCUCCUUAAGCUUCUCCUCCUCAAUCUGUUGAGCAUGAACCAUGAGUAUAGAUAGGUCCAUCUCUUUAAUCAAUAUGGCAGUCCUACACUCCUUGACCACACUAUCAGAUACACCAGAAAUGAACUUACAUAUUCUGGACCUAUUGUCUGCCACCAUAGUAGGAGCAUUCCUCGCCAACUAUGUAAAGUUGAGCGAGUACUCCUUGAUGCUCAUGCUUUCCUGCUUCAAGUUUAUGAAUAAUGUGUGAGUAGAUGCUAACACAUUUGAGGCUUUUAAGAAAGAAUAAUUGCAAAGUCUUAAGCAACUUUUGUCAUUUUUGAUUAGUUUUACUUUGAUUUUGCAGUAAAGGUUGAGAUGCACGGAAACUAACAAUAAUGGAAGCAAAAAAACUAAAAUCUGAAGUAAUUAAAAGGCAAGUGCAGCUGAUGACAUUCAUGAUAGGUGGUCAGCCCAGUGAUAGGAUAUCAAGGCCAUCGUAAGCCUUAAACAGGGAAUGAGUACCGGCUGCCAGAAUUGAUGACAUUUUGUGAUAGACCAUCAUAAUGGUGAUAAGUCAUCAGGAAUGUCGUCAGAUUUAGGUAGGAUAUAAGAAUUAGAGAAAAAGUGUGAUGACAUUUCUGAUAAGUCAUCACAGUCCUGAUAAGACAUCAGAAGUUACCAUCAACCUAAUAUAGGACUAGUGCAGAUUUGAAGAAGACCUGACGACAUUCUUGAUAAGUCAUCAGGAUCCUGAUAAGGCAUCACCAAUAGUCAUCGUCAAUUCUGAGAAAAAGAUGUAACCUUAAUUUUGUUGCCUUAUUUAGGGUGAACUAUUUAAAUCUUUGUUUUAAGGUUUUCUAAGAAAAUUCCGGAGAGGCCCGCACAUGAGUUUUUUGGACAGCAUAUGUUGAUAUUUUUUCUCUUUAUUUCUUGACUUUAACAAUACAACUAUUUUUGAGAGAUUAUUAUCAGUAUUUUGGGAUUUUUCCUUUGUGAUCUAAUCUGCGAUUCACUAGUUAUUAUUCAUCUCUGUAAGUUUAUCUUCCAAUUUAUGAAUUCAAUUAUAUGUUUUGCUCGUUAUAUCAUAAGUGGCUAAACUGCAUUAACCUGAGUUAUGGGAUCUAGGGUUAGGUCUUGAUAAGGUGCUAAGUAUAUAAGAUUCAAAAGAUGGUAGGAUUUCUUGAUAAUUCUAAAGUUUUAAUUAACGUCUGUUGGUUGCAAACAGUAGAGACACCUGCUUGAAUUUGCUUGAGAAAUAAAUCAAAUAUAGUAGGAAGUGAAUUAUCAACAGGGACUCAGAAAUACUUUGUUUAAUAAUCAGCGCUAUAACAAGAUUGGUUAACCUGAGAUAAAAUCUGGGCAGUAAAUAGAAAUUCCCUAAGUUCGAGAGGAUUAGGGAAUUAAAUGCUUAAGUAGGUUGACAGACAUUUUAGCAUAACAUCGAUAACGAUAGCUUGUUAUCCUACCCACCAUGAGAAUCUUUAACCUUUUUUAGUAUCUGUCAUGUACCGGAAGCCCUAGUGAACAUAAUUCUGGUUAUUUCAUAAACUCUUAAUUACAAACACCGAAGCUAAAUUGAUCAACAUUUGUUGUCUAAUCUCCAAAUCUCCCAUUUUAUCUUUUCGUAUCAUCUGUUUGAAUUCAACUUGAAGCUAUAGUUUCAAAUUAGUUUGAUUGCCACUCACAUUGUUCCCUGUGGAUUCAAAUCCGACUCCAAAAGUUGGGUAAAUAUAUUGACGAUGACCCUUGUACUAAAUUGAUGUGUAAGUUGAGUGUUAUAAAAAAUGGCACCAUUAUUGGAGAACAAUUUGGCGUAUUGAGUUGGUUUCAAAUUUUUGUUUACCUUCUUGAAUUCAAACUUAAAAUAUUUGUUUAGUUUAUUUUUAUUUAUUUAUUUUAUUUUCUUUUAUUUUUAUUUUUCUCAAUCCUUUCUUGAGAUGUCAGUCUGGAUAGAUGGUUUUAUGAGUGAUGAUGAUUCUUGUGAGGAUUCUUGUUAUUAUUGUGGGGGACCAUAUUUUGAGGCUUGCUAUCCAGAUUUACCUGGAAGUGCAUGGAUGGGACCUUCCCAAUAUAAUGUGGAUACUGUCCUACUUACUAUAACUUGGUGUUUGACUUGUGGUGAAAGAGAUCAUACUGAAGAUAUGUGUGUUGUCACGAUUCAAGCGAGCAAAUUGAUGAAAUAAAUCUUAAAGAAUCAAGAAUAGAUGUGGGCAAAGCUAAAAGAGUUACCACUCCCACUAUGUUCAUAGUGGCUAAACAAAGAAGAAUAUGAAAGGGACAUAAGCUAAUUUGAGGAGAAAACUUAAGAAUCACAACCACUCGAUUGUCAUCUUGAUCUUGAGAUUGACAUUGAGAAGGUGAAAAAAAGUGAGUGUGUAGUAGAUAGUGUAAAUUUUGAAGUAGAAUUAGUUGGGCCUCACUCGAAACAUUUUUCUAAAUUAUGUUUAGAUGAUAUCUUGUCUGUGGAAUAAUUUAAAAUAGUAGAAGAGUGUGAAGAUGAGGAACAAGAAUCCUAUGUUCUUGAUUUUAAAUUAGACAAGCAACAUAAAACACACCUCACUUUAAGGUCGAGUGGUUUACCACACUCAAUCCAUUACUCAACUUUUUAAUUUUUGUACCACCCUUCUAUGAUUAAGGAAAUAAUAUGGACUCUAAGUUGGGGUUAAAAUUCAAAUGGUCUAAGUGGAGGGAUAAAGUAUGAAGCACUUUUAAGGUAUCUUGAUGAAUUCUGAGUAGUUAAGAUAACCUAGUCGGGCUGCGAGACUAAAUUAGCCACUUCUUGGGAGACAACCCAAGUUAUUUUGUUAUUUGUAUUUGUAUUAUAUGAUUGACAUCAGAUCUUUGCUCCCAUGGUGCCACAGGUAUGUUUUUAACUCUCUUAUUUGGUUUGACGCAUUGGGGACAAUGCCUGAUUAUAAGUUGAGAGUGGGACUACUUGUGAUUAUUGAUGUUCUCUUGGGGUAUUUUUCGUCAUGCCUCUUUUCCCCUGAGUCUUUUUCUAGUAGAUCCGGCAUGUUUAGGUGUAUUGUUUUUGUUUUGUGAUGUGUUGUGGUUAACUAGAGGAAAAAUAAGUAUCUAGGGUAGUUGACCUAUUUUUGUUGAUUUUUCUUGGAAUGAUAAAUACCUCUGCAAUUGUCUAUCUGGUAACUAUGUGAUAAAUAUCUAUAUGUGACUAUUGUGAAUCUUUUUAUGGCAUUAGUAUUACGGACAUGAUGAUCACUGCUAACAAUUGCAUGAAUCGAAUGGGUAGUAGUUUAUGAUGUACCUUUAUGCCAUGUGUGUGUGAGAUACUACCUAGUUCCUGUUGUGUGUUAAAUCUAGAACUUGUCCGGUUGGUUUUGCCUUGGUUGUAGGAUAUCAGUUAGGAAAGGAUCAUAGGACGUUAUUGAUAUUAGUCCACUUUUAGCCUAAAUGACCUUCCAUGGGUGAAUAAUAUCCCUUGAUCCUGAUUUUGAGCCUGAAUUCCUAUUUUUUAUUAUACCUAUCACCUUUCAUUUGUAUCACAAUGAACCUAUUUUGGGCCUAAUCCUCCUUGGAUAUUAUGCACUUUGACUUAGGAAAAUAGCCUAAGUUGAGGUUGUCUAUAAUAGGGAUGUGUGAUGUAAAGUGAGUAUGAAGAAGGGUAAUAAAUAUAUAUAUAUAUAUGCAAGGCUGGGUGUGGUAGAAAAAGAAUGAGAAAAGAAAAGUUGUGCAAAAGAGAAAAUGAUUGAUUAAAUGACCACACCCAUCCUAAAUUUGCUUAAUCAAGAAAGGGAGAAAUAAGGUAAAGGUUGAUAACUGAGACUCCCCCCCCCCCCCAAAAAAAAAAUAGUGUAGUGCCAAGAAGGCUUAGUUACUUUAAAUAUCCUUGUGUUUCAUACCAGCCCAAGCCUACAUUACAAACUGAAAAAAAGUCCUAUAGUGAUCCUAACUUAACUGUCUGAAAGCUUUGGUAAUGAAAAUAAGGGCAAGCUUAUGGUAUUUAGCAUACAUUGACUGGAACUUCUUACUGAGAGUGAGUGUCUCUUGACUGUCCCUGCAUUUACCUUCUUGAUUUCAUAUAUGAGUGAGGAGGGACUUCUUUGUGGUAAGGGCACAUUGGUUGCAUUCCUAGUUGCCUACUUGUUUGGGUAGUGUAAUUUGUAUAUAGGCAUGGUUAUUAUUGCUAAGUUGAUGCCAUAUAUUGAUUCUUUUCUGUCACAUUGUUGAUCUUCAUGGAUAUAAAUAGAUGGGUUUAAACUGAUUGAAAAUGGAGAAGGCAAUGUGUUUUGAACUAAAAUUGAUAAUCAACUGUCAUAGGUAUCUUAUGUGUCUCUUAGUUAAGCAUUGUAAUGUUGUGUUUUAGUUGCUUAAGCACAAGAAAUUAUUUUAAGUUGAGGGUGUUGAUGUGUGAGCAUAUACAAAAAUAUUUGAGGCUUUUAACUAAGAGCAAUUGCAAAGUCUUAAGCAACUUUUGUCGUUUUUGAUUAGUUUUACUUUGAUUUUGCAGUAAAGGUUGAGAUGCAGGGAAACCAACAAUAAUGGAAGAAAAAAGGCUAAAAUCUAAAGCAAUUAAAAGACAAGUGCAGCUGACGACAUUCAUGAUAGUCAUCAGCCCGGUGAUAGGCUAUCAAGGUCAUCGUCAGCCUUAAAUAGGGAAUGAGUUCCAGCUAGUAGAAUCGACAAAAUUUUGUGAUAAGCCAUCAUAAUGGUGAUAAGUCAUUAGGAAUGUCGUCAGACUUAGGCAGGACAUGAGAAUUGGAGCAAAGUAUAACGACAUUUCUGAUAAGUCAUCACAGUCCUGAUAAGCCAUCAGAAGUUGCCGUCAACCUACGAUAGGAAUAGUGCAUAUUUGAAGAAGACCUAACGACAUUCUUUAUAAGUCAUCAGGAUCCUGAUAAGGCGUCACCAAUAGUCGUCAUCUAUUCUGAGAAAAAGAUGUAACCUUGAUUUUGUUGCCUUAUUUAGGGUGAACUAUGUAAAGCUUUGUUUUAGGGUUUUCUAAGGAAAUUCUGGAAAGGCCCGCACAAUGAGUUUUUUAGACAGCAUUUGUUGAUAUUUUAUGUCUUUACUUCUUGACUUUAACAACACAACUAUCUUUGAGAGAUUAUUAUCAGUAUUUUGGGGAUUUUUCUUUGUGAUCUAAUCUACGAUUCACUAGUUAUUAUUCAUCUCUGUAAGCUUAUCUUUCAAAUCAUGAAUUCAAUUAUGUGUUUCAUUCGUUACAUUAUAAGUGGCUAAACUCUAUUAACCUGAGUUAUGGGAUCUAGGGUUAGGUCUUGAUGAGGUGCUAAGUAUUCAAAAUUCAAAAGGUGGUAGGAUUUAUUGAUAAUUCUAAAGUUUUAAUUAACGUUUGUUGGUUGCAAACAGUACACACAACUACUUUGAUUUGCUUGAGAAAGAAAUCAAAUAUAGUAGGAAGUGAAUUAUCAAUAGGGACUCCGAAAUACUUCAUUUAAUAAUCAGCGUUGCAACAAGGUUGGUUAACCUGAGGUAAAAUCUGGGCAAUAAAUAGAAAUUCCUUAAGUUCAAGAGGAUUAGGGAAUUAAAUGCUUAAGUAGGUCGAGAGACAUUUAAGAAUAACAUCAAUAAAGAUAGCUUGUUCUCCAACCCACCAUGAGAAUCUUGAAUCACUUUUAGCAUCUGUCAUGUACCGGAAGCCCUAGUGAACAUAAUUCUGGUUGUUUCAUAAGCUCUUGAUUACAAACACCAAAUCUAAACUGACCAAAAUUUGUUGGCUAAUCUCCAAAACCCCCAUUUUAUCUUUUUGUAUCAUCUGGUUGAAUUCAACUUGUAGCUAUAGUUUCAAAUGAGUUUGAUCGCCACUCACAUUGUUCCCAUGUGGAUUCGACCCCGACUCCAAAAGUUGGGUAAAUAUAUUAACGAUGAUCGCCUUUCACUAAAUUGACGUGUAAGUUGAGCAUUAUCAAUGAACUCCUGAUCCUUAGCUUCCCAUAACUCUAGUGGGAAGAACUUAUGUAAAAAAACCGUGGAAAACUCCUCCCACUUCAUAGGCACUAACUUACCACCUCUAUCCUCCAUCCGCUGCUUGAACCUGGUCUGAGCUACUCCUUGUAAUUGAUAUGCAACCAAUUCUAAACUCUCAUUUAAAGUGGAACAUAUAAUGUCAUUCACUUUUUGCACUCCAUACAAAACCUCCUGCGGAUCCUCUUCAGACUUGGAUCUAGAAAACAUAGGGGGAUUCAUUUGAUUGAGGUCCCAAACCCUAGAUGUAGCUGUCUUCAUCACUGGAUUGGCUAGGGAAACAACUUGAUGAUUGUUCUGAGAAGCUAUAGAAUGGUCUAAGGUUGUGAAAACGACCCUAAAUUUGGUACGGGCGACAUGUUCAUUUAGGGGAUCAUCUUGAACAGAUGGUGGUGCGGGCUGAUCCCUAUUCUUUCUUCCAUUGUUUUUUAGGAAGCAUUGUCUGUAAGUGGAAUGAAGGAUGAGUUAGAAAAAAUAAUUCAAUAUAGCUCAUGCUCUUUCACACGACAAAAAUACUGAAAGAAAGGAAACUUUCCUAAAAAUGUCUUGUAGCCUCUUGUGCAUAAGUGUGGUGAGCUUCACACCCAUGCACAAUACUUUACUCAAUGUUACUUUUAGAAACCCUAGGACACUUUAAAACCUUAGGAUCUAAUACCAAGUUUUUUCAUGACCCGAGGCUACCCCUGGUAGCAACAACAGUGCUUACAACCACAAGUGACCGCAAGCUAACCCAUGAGAUGGUAUUUGCUGUGAGCAUUGAGUAAAAUAGUAAUACAACACAUAUGCUAAAGAUAAGCUGAUAAAAUACUAUAAAUCUAAAUACUGAAUAUGUAGUAAUGACAUGUUUGAAAUAUCUGAUAAUAUACUAAAAACUAAAUCGUAUGUAUGAAAUAACUGAUAAAAACACAAAGAACUGACUGACAGUCUAACUAAUUAUCCGAAAGCCUCUAAACAUCAUGAGGAGUUGAUGGGACAAACCCCCAACUAAAUCCUACUAACUGAAUAUAAGGAAAUAUUGAAAUAACUAAGAAAAUAUAUCAUGUCCUCGAUUGAUGAGGACUCACCACUACUGCUGCCGGGUAACGCUGUGCUGUCUAAAAAUGGUCGAAAAACUAAGCAUCCAAACCUAUGUUAUAUGACAACAUAGCUCAAGGAAAAGUAUAGGAUCAGUACUUUAAAUGUACUAGUAUACAAGAUAAGGACUGGUUAAGAUGCAUGAGAUAACUGAGCAUGAAUGCAUGAACAUAUAAUAUCUAAGAAUGCAAGACCACGCUCAAACAUAUUUCGGAGAUAAUCUGUAAUUUGAAAGACUGAAUUUUGUAUAACUUAAUAACUAAAAAUCUGUAUACUUUGGUCAAGAAAACCUAAGCUGAGACAUAAUGAAUAAGGACUGACACUACGGAAGCUAUCAUGUAACCGACAUGCCCAAAUCUGGGCUAAUUAGGAUCCAACCUGUAAAACUAGAUGGAAGGGUAUUAGUACCAUGUCAUGGGUACUGACACAUAGCUGUAUGGGUCCACAAAAAGAGUUACUCUCUACUGGUAGGUGCUCUUAUGAGAAAUAUGUCAAUAGUCGACUGGAAGGUGGACAUCUCAAACCUAUGCUGGCUAUGUAGUUCGGGAACUCAGGGACUACUACUAGAGGUCACACCCUCUACUGGUAGGUGAGCCCCCAUCCCUAGGUUCACUUGGUGCUAAAUUCUACUUCCAAACUAAACUGACAAUGGUAAUGAGCUGAACUGAAUGCACCGAACAUAACAACUGACAUUGCUCAUCAUGAUCAUAAUAAUUGAGCAAAUGUUAAUACUCAUGGUUUAAUUAAAAUCAUUACAUAAAAGAUCUGAAGUCAUGUAAAAUACAAAGGUAUAAGAUGUUAUAACCUGCCAGCACUGAAUGAUAAAAAUAUAGUAUUAAGGCUUAGAACUGUAGUAUGAAAUUAUGGUUUAAAGAUCCCAAAACAUAGACAUUUCAUCAAAAAUAUGAUAAUCAUGAACUUAAACAUGGGAAUGUGUUAAACAUAGGAAAUCAACAUAAUUACAUAACUAAUUCAUAAAUUAGGGAUUUAACAUGAAAUUCACUUGAAUCAUGACUUAGGAAAUUGUAGUUUAAAACAUGAAUUAACCUAAUCUUUCAUGGGAUCAUACGUGAACAUGGAAUUGAUUUCAAUUACUAAUGAAAGACAUGAAUUUAAUCCAUCUUGAAUAUAUAUAACUCCAUAAUAAGAGACAAAUCCAUACUUUAGUUAAACAGAAGGUUUUUUGGGCUCCAUGGGUGAAAGGGACCCAUGAAUUAACAUCCCACUUACCUGAAUGUUGAAGCCUUGGAUAAAUUUCUUGGUAUUGAACUUGAAUUUGAUAAACCCCAGGUUGUUUUGGGGAGAAAGAAAUCGCCCCUUUUUUCUUUGUGAUGGAUGAUAUUUGAGUUGUGAUAGGUUAGGUUAGUUUACUCUUGAUAACUACUAUUUAGAGGGUGAAACAACACAUUUUUGGGGGUUAAAAUAGUGCUAAAAUACCAUAAAAACCUUUUAAAAAUGUCAUGACAAUGCAGAACUAUCCCGGGUGACAGACCGUCACUCCUGUGACUGAUAGCUACUCCAACUAUCACAUAAUGACCAAAUUUUAGUCUUUCUGCUUACGGGUUAUGGUUUGGCAUGAUGGGCUAUCACUAAUGCAUCGGUCCGUGAUCUUGGCCAUCGCGACUUCACAGACAGACACCCUUUUGGCAAAAUAGGAAUAACUUUUUACUCCAAUAUCUGAUUAAGGUGAAACCGGUGGAAUUGGAAAGAUAAUAAUCCAGUUAUCUAUCUGUUAGUGGAUAUUGAUUUCAAAAACUCUUAGUAACACAAAAGUAUGCUUGUUUAAUGUUGACUAUAGCAAUAUUCUUUAUAAAAACUCAAUAGGUAAGGGAUAUUUUGACUUGUCUAAAAGCUAGGAGUUGUAUGAGGCCUUAAUAUACAUCCAAAUCACACAUAAAGAUACCAAAUCACUAUAUUUGAUUUUACAUGAGCUAGAAUCAUGGUUUUAAUAUUGGUUUUGAUUUUUAGGGUGUUAAAGUAUAUUUCUUUCUCUUUAGUUCAUGAGUAGCUAAAUUCUUUGUCUUGAGAUUAUGUUGAACUAAGGUGUAAUUGUAUGUGGGUUGUGAUCUAUUUGUGUCAAUUCUAGCUUUUUGAUGAUGGGUUUCACUAUUUCUUGGUUUAAUUAUUUGGGAUUUGUAGGUGAAAACCCCAAACUCUUGAAAGCUCAUAUUAUUCUUGGAAUAGGGAUGCGAGUGAACUUUUGGAACCAAUGACAUCUUUGAAAAAAGGGCUAUGGGGAGACAAAGAAAUAGUGGACAAUAAUAGAUAUAAUUUACUAUUUUUUUUCCAUCUUAGAAAUAAGGGUAAAUAAAGAGUGGCUAUAUUUUUGGCAUCUUCCUAGAAAUAGGGAUGCUCAAUUGAGGUAUUAGGUGGCUUUAAUUGAUACACUCGUUAGGUACUCGCAAAGGGUCAAAGAGUGAUAUCCUUGAGGCUUUGUUGACAAACUACCCUCAAGGACCUUCAACCUAGCCUAUCACACCAUAAAUUCCUAGAAUUUACACUAAAUCAUUAUGUUCCUAUGCAUAACUUUCCCUUAGGUAGACAUAAUCCCAAGAUCCUUUAAAUAUUGGAUUUUCAAAUCACAAGUGUUGUUUUAGAGUCUUGACUUGAGUAGAUAUUGAUCAAACCUUGUUACAAAUAAGAACCUCUAAUUUAAAUCAUGCUUUUUACUUUAUUUACACUUCGGGUAUCUUUUUAGUAGCUGUUAACACCCAUAGGACUAGAAAACUAAUUUUGAUCCUCGUGGUUUUGAUCUCAAUGUAAGUUGAGCUAUUGAUAAUGACCGUACUCUACCAAUUUAAAAGGUAUAAGUGAGCAUUAUCAACACUCUGCGUUAAAGUGCCCCACAACACCACAAGUUUAACAAACUCUUUCAAGAGAAGGCCUGUUAGCGGAAGAAUAAGUAGCCCCUUAUCCUUAAGCAAUUGAAAACUGUUGAGUAGCCCCUAACCGACCACUUAUAGAAGCUCAAAGAGCUAAAUGAAUAGGGCAAGAGAUAGGCAUGCCACCUAUGACCUCUGGAUUAAGAACCGCCAAGGUUACUUGCAUUCUAAUACUUCUUCCCUAACUCUUUUGAGUGACCAUCUUUCUUGACCCUUCUAUUUUUUCACAUAAUUAGCAAUCUCAUUAAAGGUAUUCCCAGCAGAAGCCAUAUGAAUAGUCAAAACCUCUAAGUCAGUGGUUAGGCCUUUCACUAACAACCAAAUUAGCUGAGUAGCAUAGUAGGAAAAAACAUAAAACUUGGCCUUAUAGGAUGCAACAGGCAUAAACUCAAAUGCUAGAAGUUCAUCAUUCUUUUCAUUGUGAAGAGUAUAGGAUACAUAUUUCUUAAAAAAUAGGGUAUGAAACUUAGCCCAUGUUAAUUGAGACAAAGUUGGAGAUUGUCACUCUAUAUAUUCUCUGCACAACUAAUUGGCAUCACCUUGCAUCUGAAAGGCAACAAAAUCAACACCAUUCUACUCCAUAAAACCCAUAUUAUGUAGCCUUUCAUAAAAAAUAACAAUGAAAUCAAAUGCAUUCUCUAUACCAAAGCCAAUAAAAGUAAAGGUUUCAUCUUUAGUAACUUGGUUAGCAUGUCAUGCUUAGUUCUAAUCAUGAUAGGACCUAACAUUAGGUGAGGUAAAAUCUCAGUCCCUAAAGCCUCACUAUUUUAGGAGUAGACAAUACCAACUAAUGCACUAAAAAUAAAAGCAUAUGUUGAAUUAUCUCAAAACACAUCGGGGGAUGAGCUACACCCAAAACCGAUGCCACCACUUCCUGCACCACAAUAUCUUCAUUCUUCAUGUCAACUACCUUAUAAUAAUCAUAGGAUGCGGGAAGUGUAUCUGACCUCUGGUAGGCCUGGUCAGCUGUUUCCUGAACUCCAACCCUAGCAAGUAUUGCUCCCCCUUUUCCUCUUUCCUUACCCUUUUCUUGUUCUCAUCCCUAAGCAAGUGGUUCUUCAGUUGGAGCUAUUGGUGUGAGGUCUAUAGCUCUAUCUCUAUUAGCUUUAAUAUUCAACAACUAUGGACAAAAGAAUGAAAAGGGUUAGAUACUAAUUUAUAUAUCUAUAUACCAAUUAGUGUCAACUUAUCGCACAAAAUAAGAAAGAAAUGACAAAUUCUUAAAGACUUAUAGACUCUCAAAUAAAGUGCAUUCAACUUUCUACCAUUUUGCAAGACUCUACUGAAACCAUUUUGGUACAGCGAAAAUAACAAACCUAGGACUAUGAUAUAAAUUUUAUCAUGACCCAAACCCAUUAUGAGUGGUAACCAUACUAACUCUAUGGUAGGAAAACUAUCUAAUCCCAAUCCAUCAACCCUACACUUAUCCAAAAUAAGGAAACUAGUUAUUUCUUAUUAAAUAAAUAUUGAAAUCCAUGUACUAAAUUAAAAACAAAUGUAGAAAUUUAAUGAAUGCAAAAAAAAACCCCUAAAACCAAAAAAUCAUUAUACCAAAACACUAUGAUAUCAAAGAAAAGGUUCAAACCCUAAAACAACUAAAAUAUACAAGUAUGAAACAAUAGAUAAGAAACUAAGUAAGGAACUUAUUAUAGUGUGCAAUAUGUAGCUCACCCUUGAGUUUGAAUGCAAUUCGCUCUAUAAUUGGGGUCUUAAAACAGUUGCCAGAAGAUACACUUUACUUAACAAAAAGAAGAGCACGUGUAGUAUCCAUGCAUUGAAAACAAUAGUUUAUUGGUAGGGUCAUCAGCCAACCCAAAAUGAGAAAUAUAAACAAGGACUCUUAACUUAGUAAAGCAAGAACAACCAUGAACACCUGCCAUGUAGACUUACCUUAAGAUUAUGAGACCUAACCUCAUAUAAACCAAUCUCAUAAAGAUAUCCAAAUACCAGUACACCCCAUAAUAAUGACAUACAUGACAACAAUCACAACCCCAAUGAUAAUAUAAACAACCCUUGUAAAACUCACAAGCUUUUCAUAUGAGUUCAUUUUAUUAUAUUAACACAUUAGAUAUCAAAUAGCCAUUCGCUUUACUUGAGCAUGCAUUGUAACACGCAAUACAAAGGAACAUAUAUCAUGCACACAUAAAACAAGUUGGAUUCCAACUACAUUAAACCAUCAUUUACCUCAAUCCAAGUCUAAAAAUGCUCUAACAAACUUGAGCUUUCCCUUUUCUUGAAACCUUAACUUUAUUGUGGUCUAAAAAUAUCAACGAAAAUAUAAUCAACCAAAUGGCCUACAAUCAAAAGGAUUAUAACAUAUUUCCUAAACCCCAAAGCCAAAUACAUGAAUUUUCCCUAUUUUAGGGAUUUUGUACCAUCAUUCCACCUUAAUCCUACCAAUUUCAUGGUUACAAUGGUGAAUUAUCAAUGUACGUGUGUAAAUUAGCAAAUCCUUAACCAAAAUCCUAAGGUUUUUAGACAAAUUCACUUAAUUGCACUAGAAAAUUAGCUAGUUAAUUGAAAUCCUCCCAUAAACCCAAAACAAGUGAUUCUACUAGUCAUCAAUUGAACUACAAGUUAACGAAUAAAAUCACUUACAUUUACUAUGAGUUUGGAUGAUAAUUGAGUGCAAUUCACCAAAAAGUUCUUGAGCCCUUUCCAAAAUAAGUUUUGAAAUACUGAAAUAUUUUGGGGUAUUUUUUCAUAAAUCCUUGCAUAUCUCUCUAUAUCAUCCCUAUCCCAUUGUAGUGGCCUAGCUAUAGCUUUAUUCUCUCACUGUGGAAGGAUUGACCAAUGUUGACUCCUGCUAUAGUGGAAUAUUAAUAGAGGCCUUCCACUGACUAUAGUGGGUGUGGAAAGGCAAAAACGUGGGACUCCUAAUUUUGCCUUUUUCUCUAUGCACCCUUAAACCUUGACAUUUCCGACUAUGCCUUUUACAUCCUUUUUGAUAUGGAGAGUUUUUCUUAUUCAUAUUCUCUUUUGAUAGAUCUUAUAUAUUUAUUAUCAUAUUAGCUUCUAAAUAAUAUAUUAAAUCCUUUCACAUUUACCCAAUCCACUUUUGAAUUAGCCUAGACCAUAACUUACUCAAAUUUCAUCCAAGACUAGCCUAGACUAAAAUUUCUAACUUCCAAUUUAGGGAAAACCUUCAAUAAAAUUUUUGAAUGCUAGCCUUACCCAUAAUAAUGGAAAGGAUCAUUAUAACUCUUGACCUAACUUUCAAAUAGAUGUUCAUAAUGCCUUUCUUAAUGGAAAUCUCACUGAGAAAGGUUUACAUGUUUCUUCUUCAUGGAGUUUAUAGACCAAGAAAGACUAGAAUGUAUAGAAUGUUAAAUCCAUAUAGGGAUUAAAGUAAUUAUCUAGGAAAUGAAACCUUAAUCUAACUAACACACACUUGAUAUUUGGUUUUACUCAAAUCAAGCAGGAUUAUUCCUUGUUUACCAAAGAUGUUAAAACCAAAUUCACUCUUGUUCUAUUGUUUGUAGAUGACUUACUUGUUAUAGGUAAUGAUCUGAAGUUGAUUAAGAAGACUAAAUAUGAUCUAGAACAUUAUUUCAAGGUAAAGGAUCUUGGGGAACUCAAAACACUUUCUUGGGAUUGAGUUUGCAAGAACAAGUGAAUGGAUAGUAAUGUCAUAGAGGACAGGAAAUAUGCCUUGUGUCAGAUUUCAGAUCUUCGGCUAGUAUGUUCCAAGCCUAGACAUACACAUGUUGAACAACACUUGACGUGGACUUAUAUUAUUUAUAAUGAGGGUACAUAAGUUAUUGAUACAAAGGUCUAAGAAUAUAGGGGAGAUGUAUGAGAUUGAUUGGCACACUUUUGUAUCUCACACUCACUAGACCAAAUAUCUCUUGUGCUUGAGUCAGUUCAUGAAAACUCUUAAGAAGUCACAUUAUAAUAAAACAUUGAAUUUGACUAGAUAUGUUAUAAAUCAACCAAGAUUGGGAUUACUAAUGAAAAGUAGAGAAGGAAAAAAGUGAGUGCUCAUUAUGACUCAAACUAGGCCUCAUACCUAAUGACCAGAAGAUCCAUGAAAAGAUAUUGUGUUAAAAUUGAAAAUUCAUCGUUUCUUGGAAAUUAAAAAAAAAUAAACCACAACCUCACACAAAUCAGUAGAGGCAAAAUAUAGAUAUAUGGCAAGCAUAGUGUCUAAAUUGGUAUGUAUUGCAGGGCUACUAAAUAAGCAUGGGUUGGAUGUUCAAUUUCCUGUGUAGUUGUUUUGUGAAAAUAAAGAUGCUUUAAAAAUAACAACUAAUCCUGUGUAUGAUGAAAGAACAAAACAUGUAGAAACUGGUUGCCACUUUAUAAGAGAAAAAAUACAGGAUGUGUUAGUUGAAACUAGAUAUGUGGAAAAAAAGAGUAGGUAGCAUGCAUCCUAACAAAGGCUUUAGGGCAUCAUCAACAUGGCUUUCUAUUGUAAAAGUUAAAAUGAAGAAAUAAUUUUCAUUCUCAACUUGGGAGGAGUGUUAGAAGUUGUACACAGAGUAGUCUAAAUUAUAUCAUUCUAGAAGCUACUUUAGUUACUUAGGAAGGCAGUUAGUUGGCUAAUUUGUUAGUUGAUUGGAUAGUUAGUUACAAAUAGAGUUAGUGGAUUAGGAGUUAGAUCUUUUAUGUAUAUAAUGCUAUGUAACAUCUGACUAGUUGAACACAUUUUACAUUUUUCUCUUUUAUGAAAUGAGAAUCGAGUUUUCACUCAAUGCUUUACAUAAUAUUUUCCCAUGGAUUCUAAGUGUUCACAUUUUAUCAAAUAUCAAUUAUUCAUGAAUAUAGGAGUACAUAUCACUUGGUAACUCAAGUAGAUGAGCAAAAAUGAACAAAGAUGAUUAAUAAAACCUUAAUUUGUUGAAACUUAGAAUAUUAAGAAAACAAGUAGGGGUGUGCAUCAGUCAGUUCAAUUCUAUUUUUAUGUAUUACCAGUUCAGUUUAUCAAUUAUCAUUUUUUGAUUUUUAAGCAUGCUAAAUCAAUAACCAGCAAAUAAAAUAUUUUUAUUAGUCUUUGAUUUAUCGAUUUUGGUCCUUAAUAGUUUAGUUUUUUUAUUUAACCAUCAACAAAAUGCUCAUACAAUAAAUAUAAAUUUGGCGCGAUGGUUUUUAAUAUUGUAUUACAGUAGCAACUAACAUGACAUCAUUAAGAAUAUUCGCAAAAUAAUUAUAGUAGAAGAUAAUAUGACAUAUGCCUUGCACUGCCAAUUCCCAUAAAAUAAGAAAUCCACUAUCAUGUCCACAAACUAUGAAACUGUCAUCAUCGUAAACCCUCGCCAUCAAUUUAAUAGAGAUGAAAUUGAAAAGAUUUAACUUUAUCAAGUUUUAGAUUUUCAGGAAAUUGAAUAGGCUUGUAGAAAUUAAGAGAAAUAAAUAAUGAAUAAUAUAUAAAUUAGUAAUUUAGUAUAUUCUUAUUGGGUUAUCGAUUUACCCAAUAGCCCGUAAGGAAAAAAAAAUAAAACCAAUAACCCAAUAAGAAAAUUUAUAAAACCAUUAAUAAUCAUUAGCACAGUAACCCAUUAACAAUAAACCAAUAAUAUUUUUAUCGGUGUGUGAUGGUACCCAUCACAUCCUUCGGUAUGAGUAAGCCUAUCCUAACCCAAAAUACAAUAAUUAAAAUAGAUCAAAAGAGGAAGAAGAAGAAGAAGAAUAAAAUUCUAAAGCAUUAAAGAUGAUACAAUAAUUCAAGAUUUAUCAAGAUUUAGUUUUCACUAUUAUAAGCCUCUAGUAUAGAGUAACAUCAAAUAGUCUAAAAUAUCUUAAAUGCGAAAAUAAGCACAAGAUAAAAGAGGAGACAUCUCAGUAAGCUCUAGAGUCUGUCAACCACUACCUAGAUCUCAUAUGCCAAAUGGAAAAAGCACAAUCUAUGAACUACUUCUAGGUCAAAUACCUGCACAAGGUGCAAAAAAUAUUAAAAGAAAGAAAAAUAAAGAGUGAGUAUGAAAUACAUAUACUCAACAAGCAUAAUUGAUAACCGACCUUAAUCUAAAGUGAUGGCGAGUACCACCACCCAACUGCCCAAGUUUUUCUGUCAUUCUAAAUGCAACCUGUAAUAUGCCAUUUUAUCCUAAUAGGGCAUCCUAUCAUAACAAUCAUAAGAUUAUUGCUAUAUAGGGUAGGCACAUUAGUCUAAGUGAGUUAACUCAAGUAAAAAAGUAAUUUAUGAGGAAGACUCACAAACAUAAUAUAUCAAUCUCAGUUAAUAUGUUCAACUAAUAAUAUGGGAUAUAAUGGUGAGAGCUUAUAAUCACGUGUGUAUCUUGCUACCAAUUGGUGUAACUCUAUGAGUCUCACUAACUAAUCCAUAGAAAUACCCUACAUCUCAUAGUAUCUUAACUCCCAAAUCAACCAAGAGGUAGUAUAAUAUGGUGCAAUGUAAUGAGAUGAACAAAAAAAACAUAAUAUCCUAAACCAGGUUCACUCAUGAUAAUCAAUUACAAAAUUAAAUACCCAAACACAAUAUUAAGCAUACCAAGGAUAUGCGAUACGACAGGUGAUAUAAUUCAUUGUAAUGAUGAUGAUAGGAUGAUGAUGAUAUAAGUCAUCUAUGUGUAUAUACCUUCUAUGUCUCAACACUUGGGUAGGACCCAUAGGGUAUUCACAAACUGUAUACUUUUAUUAUUUCAAUCAACCUUACCGACAUAUCCCUUGGUAUAGGUAUUUUUGAAAUUAUAUCUCAAUCACAUAUCUUAAUCAACCUUAACGGCAUAUCCCUUGGUAUAGGUAUUUUUAAAAUUAUCUCAUUUUCUUACAAAAUCAAUAUUUCUAAUCGAACUUAUUGGCACAUCCCUCAAUAUAGGAGUUUUAUAAAGUGUCUUAUUUUAUGUCAGAAGCAAUUAUUUCUCAAUGGUACCAAUCCCAUAAAUAUAAAAAGAUGAAAUAAGGAUAAAAUGCUCAUAACUAAUCAGUAUAAAGAUAAUAAUCAAUUCAAGAUAGGUACAAAUAAGCUCAAAAUUAACUCAAAAUAAUAAUAUUUCAUGAUAAAAGCUAUUGCAUGGCACCACUAGUAUAAAUGGUCAUGUAAGACAUAAGUUGUAUCACUUUAAACCCUCACUUGGGUAUAUUAUGAUAAUAAAGACAAUUAAUGCAAAAGUAAGACCUAUAAUAAGAAGUCAAUUCCCUACCCGUGCGAUACUAUAAUAAGGCAAUUAAUGGACAUAUAAGGCCAAAAAUAUAAAUUCAAGCCCCCACUUGGACACCACAAUCAUAAUAAUCUCUCAAGUCAGUAAUUAUAAUACCCCAUACUUUUAUUAGCUUAGUUCAACUCCUAGUUGCAUUUAUAAUAGGCGUAAAGCCUGAAAAUUUAGCUAAGUGUUGGGGACUUAGUCAUUUUUAAGGCCUUUUAACUUCAACGAUUUUUAAAGUGGCGUUCCCGACCUUGAGAUGUAGGUUUCUGAGGUAAUUUAUGUUUAGAGGUGUGAGGAGCAUAUCUCGGGGAAGUUUUAAACGAGGAUUGGGUCGUGUUUGGAUUUCAAUUCCAGCAGCUCACCAUGAUAAAAUUUUGUCAUGCUGCUUAUAGCACUGCAUAAUUUUACCAACUAGGUGAGUAAAAUAUUGAGGCUAGGAUGUUUUGGAGCAGUAUUCAUAAACUUUCAAUUGUGUUUGUAACAUGCAUAGUGUAGAACUUGCAUUCUGUGUAGUCAUUGUAGUACUAGCUUGAGUUUCUUGUAUAGAGUAGAAGUGUAGAGUCUCCAGCUGAUGAUGAUUAUAGUUAAGAUUUGUUCGAGGAUGAACAAGGCUUUAAGUGUGGGAUGGUGAUGUUGGGUGUAUUUAUGCAUUCUCGCGUUACUAUUCUAGCAUUUUUAGCCUUGUUUUGAGGAUGAUUCGUAUGCUAUAUGGGUUAAUGAUAAAAUAAAUAUGUAUAAAAGUGUUAAAUCAUGUGUUUAUAAUGUACAAAGUGAAUUUCAAACAAGUUUGUACUUGAUUAGGUCAUUUAGAGUUCAACCGAAAAACUAGUGUUACUAGCUUGAGCUAGGUGCUUGUCUAGUUGGUCUCAUUGGAUUCUAGUAUUUUAAUGAGUUACUUAUGGUUUAAAUAGGUGAUUAUGAGUUGAAUAACUUGUUGUUAUUGAGAAAAGUUCAAUUUGAGUGAGUGUACAGCUGGAACAAUAAGUGAAAGAGCAAUGCCAACUAUCCUAGCUUAGCUCCUGUUUUGCUUUAUCGUUAUAGGUAUUGUGUUGUGAUUGUCUUUAAUUCGUAUGGUGUGAUUUUGUAGGAAAAUUUGGUAUCUGAAUAUGAUAAUAUUUUGAUGUUAAAAAGUCUGGAAAUCCAUGGGGAAGACACCAAAAGACAAGGGACUAAGAGUGGAAACUCAACACUUAGCCAAAAUCCGAGAGACAACUUCCAGAGAGCCAACGCGAUUUAGAAGUGAUGCCUUAGACAUAGUGGGGAUAUAGGUAGGGUGAAACCCUGGGUAGAGUGGGGCUCUAGGUGAUUCUGCUCUUUGGCUGGAGUGGGGAUCUACCUGGGGCAGCACCUUCUCCACUCCCGGGCUCAAUAACUUAAUGUUUCCAACUCCUACAUGGGGUUGGUUUACCAUAGGGCUAUAAAUACAUCAUGGUCACAUUUUUUUACACAUCUUGGAACAUAUUUUGGAGAUCAAUUGGCUUCUACAACUUUAUUAUUAUAUUUUUAUUAUUUUAAUUUAUUUCAUACAUGUUUUUAGUCGUUAAUUACAACUUUGUGAGUAGCAUUAUGACUAUGCGUGGCUAAACUCGCUCUUUCCAGGGUUAACGCCAAGAAAAUGAAUAUUAUUAUUUGGAAUUAAGUUUUUUUGUUUUUUUUUAUCAUUAUUCGUUGUUCGUUUAUUCUUAUUAUGACUAUUUUAAGGAUUCUCAACCUUUAGAAUACAUCUAUUGUUAACCUUGUGAACUCGGGAGAGGGAAUAGGGAGACUGAACAUUGAAAUAAACAUAGUAUGGUUAAUAGUCUUUUAUGAAAUUAGUGACUAGGACAGGGAUGCAUUUAGAUGCUUUACUUGAUUCACACGUAGGAUGAUAUCUUAAAGAACAUUAGUGGACUAUUACAUCCCCGUUCAAUGAUAUAGUUGUAAGGUUCAACUUAGGUAAAGGACUAGAGGUCGGGAGACCAUGAUCAAGCAAUUAACCCUACAAAUCAACAACCAAGAUAAGCAAUUUAACGAAUGAAAUUCAAUAUGUAGUAUGAUUGUUUGAAGUUCUUUAAACCUGGGUUUUCUCCUAUUGAUUAUUUCAAGACCUUUACUUUGUGAAUUUUUUACUUUUCUACAAUUUACAAAUUCCAAACUUUUUAUGGAUAUUGUUGCAUCGAAUUAAUCUAAACCAUGAACUGAAAUUGAAUCAUUAUUGAAUCAAGUCUCUGCGGGAUCGAUACUUGUAUUCUGAAAGGCCAAUUUACAACUUGAUAAGGCCACAUACACUUGCGUGUGCAAUACCAAGUCUUUGGUGCCAUUGUCAGGGACUUGCAAUAGGCAACUAUUUUAUUUUAGUUUUGCUCUUUAGAUUUCUUUGGUGUGUUUACACUUGGUCUUGGUUUUGUGGUUGCAGGAAAUAGGUUUUAAGGUUAGGAAGCUGUAAAGGGCUAUGGAUUUGGUUGAAACAACCCCCGAACCCGAACAACACUUCCAUUAACAAAGGAGAGAUACAAUACGUAUCCCCCAAUUUCCAUAAAUAGAAGAAGACCAAGUAGUUCCUGCUACAAUGGCUGAAGAACAAGUAGCCCGUAAGAUUGUUCGAGAAUUGGCAGUCCCACUUUCGAUAAACUUGACUUCCCCAAUUCAAACACCAACUACUAUGGGGAAUUUUGAGUUAAAGUAUAAUAUGGUGAAACUUCUUAUCAACAGUGGACAAUUUGAAGGGCUUUCAUAUGAGGAUCCACAAGUCCAUCUAUAGAAUUUUAUUGAGCUUAUUGACACAUUCAUUUUGACUAGGGUGAAUAUAGAUUAUGUAAGGCUGACACUAUUCCCCAUUCACUGUAGGGGGAAACUAAAAGGUGGUUAAAUGCAGAGCCAGCCAAUUCAAUCACGUCAUGGGAUGGAUUAUCCAGAAAGUUCCUCAUUAGAUAUUUUUCCAUUUGGCAAUAAUACGAGGCUUCACAGUGAGAUAGUGAGUUUCAAGCAAAAUCCAGAUGAAAAUCUUUAUCAUACUUGGAAAUUCUUUAAGGCUCUUCUUCGAGACUAUCCACAUUACCAAUAGUCCAAUGAGGUAGUUUCUCGUACUUUUGUAAAAGCUCUUGUUCACAAUACCAAGAUUUUACUAGAUUCAGUCGUAGGUGGUCAAGCACUGGAGUUGACUUCUGAUAAGCUAUACAAAUUGUUGAACCGCAUAGAAUGAGGAAAUCUUGAGUGGUAUUUAGAUUCUAGAAGUGCCAUAAAAAGAAUUGCAGGCGUAUUAGAGGUGGACCAGUUCACUACCUUAUCAACUCAGGUUGCUGCAUUACAAAACAUAAUUAACACUCAGUUUAGCAGCUAGUAAUUAGGAGCUGCAUAGCCUAUAACAACAGUUAAUGUGGUUUAGCAAACUAGUGGUUGGUGUGAGAUCUGCAGAAAUAGUAUCCAUUCUACAGCCAUGUGUGCUUCAGAUCUGGAAUCAGUAAUGUAUGUAGGCAAUUCUUAAAGGCCAAAUUAUGGUAAUUCCUAUAACAUGAAGUGGCGGACUCAGUCAUGGAAUGCACAACAACAAAAAAUUUAGAAACCACAAGAACAAGGGAAUCAGUCAACUAGCAACAUAGAAGAGAUGCUUCAACAACUUUCAGCUAAUCAAGCAUAGUUGAUUGUAGACAAGUAAAAUUUACAAGUGGCUUAAAGGAGCUUAGAGUUUCAGAUAUGGUAUUUACAACAAGUAUUACAUACUAGGCCACAAGGUGGUAAAGUACUUCAAUAAGAACCUCAAAAGGUAACUAGGGAGGUAUAUAUAGACUUAAAUGCCCCACAGGUUUCUGAAAAGUUUCUGAAAAAUAAAGAAAGUCUGAGUACUUGAAAGAAAAAGAUGCUGAAGAAGAAGUGAAGAAGACACCUCACUACCCCUACCUCAGAGGAAAAUAAAAGUGAAGAAGGAUGCUAUAUUCAAAAAGUUAUUUGAUACAUUCACAGAACUUCAUAUUAACUUACCUUUGUUAGCUGUUUUAUAGGGUAUGCUCAAGUAUACAAAGUACUUAUGGGAUAUGGUUGCUAAUAAGGUAAAAUUGCAGGAUGUGGGGGUAAUAACACUAAUUGAAGAGUGUAGCACUGUAAUAACACAUAAAUCCCUAAAAAUUAAGAGAUCCAGGGAACUUUACUCUACCUAUCCAAAUUGGGAGUAAAGUGGUCCAUGCAUUAAGUGACCUAUGGGCGAGCAUAAAUUUGAUGCCUCUAUAAUUAUUUGAUACAUUGGGCUUGGGAAAGCCUAGAUUGACCACAGUGGAUUUGCUACUAGCAGAUGGAUCCAUUGUAUAUUCGAAAGGAAUUAUUGAGAAUGUUCUCAUAAAGGUUGGUAAAUUUGUUAUUCUUGCUGACUUCAUUGUUCUUGAUUUUGAGGAAGAUGAAUAGGUACCAAUCAUCUUUGGGCAUCCAUUCUUAGCAACUAGAGGAGCGUUGAUUGAUGUUAGAGAAGGCACGCUCAAAAUAAGGGUAGAGAAUAAAGAAGUGGUAUUUGAUAUUUAUAAGGAACCCAAAAUAACCUCCCAUUAUAAAGAUUUGUGUAUAAUUAAUGUUGUUUUAUGGAAUCGGCAUGCCACAUGGUGCAAAUGACCCCGAAGGACCACAAGCUAACCCUUUUUGAUAUCUAUAAUUAAGAACUGCAUAAUAUACCAAAAUAAAUGUAGAAAACUAGUGGGAACUUACCAUAAGGUUCAAAUAUCUAAAAUAAUCAAUACUGGGAACUGAAUACUAAUAUAUCUGUUCGAAAAGCCUCUAAUUGUUUGAAAUUUGGAGUUGAUGGGACACGUCCCCAACUAACUCUAUCUACUGUGAAUAAAAUGAAUCUAAUGCAAGAAUAAAAUAAGGAUCAUCCUCGAAUGAAGAGGACUUACUAUUACGUCUAUUGAUGCUGACUGAGUUUGGACUGCUAAGGGUGCUCUGGAUCUCGUGCUUUUGAACCUACGGUAUAUGGUACUAUAGCGCUUGAUAAAAGUAUGCGCCAGUACUUUGAAUGUACUAGUAUAAUAGAUGAGGUAAGGCUAAAUACAAGGGCUUAUGCAUUAAUAUAUCUCAACUGAAUAAUCAUGAGAGUACUGAAUGUGGACAUAUGCAUGAAUGCACAACCAUAACUAAAAUCAUCGUGAAUCUGUAUACUAAGACUUGGAUACUGCUUUACUGGCGUCUUAAAUCACUACUAAUACUGAGAAACUGAAUAACUGAAUCUUCUGAUAUUGAUAACUGAGUUCUAAAGUUGAGAUCAGUCUUAUCUAGCACAUGAUCUCUGAAUCUGAUGAUACUAAAGCUGAUUAACUAAAUCUACUCGUAUCAAUGACUGAGUUCUGAGCUUACAACUAUUGACUGACUAAAUUUGUGAUCAAACCUUUCUAACGUAUGAUCUCUGAAUCUACUACUAAUGAUAAAGAAUGAUUGUAUCUGAGAUUAGGCCUAUCUAGCGGAAGAUCUCUAAAUAUACUAAUAAUGAUAAAGAAUAAUUGUAUCUGAGAUCAAACCUAUCUAGCCGAAUAUCUCUGAAUCUUUUAAUAUUAGAAAUGAUGGACUAAGUUUGAGAUUAGGCAUUUCUGAUGGAUUAUAUCUGGAUCUAUUAGUACUGAUUUUGAUUAACUUUACAUGAGACCAGGCCUAUCUAGCGGGUAUUCUAUGAAUCUAUGAAACUAUCUAAGUUCCUUACUGAAAUGGGUGACUAUAUCUAAUAGUCUUGAUUUCUAAGUUCUAAUCUGAAGACUGAUACUAAAACUGCAACUGUGGGAGUUCUCACUUAAUUAACAUGCCCUGAAUUUGAUAUGGUGGGGUCUAACCUAUAACCCCAGCUAGAAGGGUGUCAAUACCAUGCCACGGGUAAAGACCUCUGCCAUGGUCAAGCCUAAGAAAGUAUGAUAGUCAAGACUUAAUAUAACGGGUGAUUCCUAUCCCUGCACUGGCUAUGAAGUUUUGGAGUUCAGGGAUUGCUGCUAGCGAAUUUGCAUCUCUAAUAGAAAAGCCCUCAUCCCAACACUCACUCGGUGCUAGCUACUACUCCCAACUGAAGGACUCCGAACUGAUUCUUAUACUGAACUAAACUAAAUCAAAUUUGUUACUUAUUUGAUUAUCUUACUUGACUGAUCUGAUUGAGUUUACUUGAUUCCAUUAUUUGAUGGAAUACUUUUGAAUUCUACUUUCUGUCUGAAUAUAACUGAGUUAUGUCACUUACUGAGCUUUACUAAAUCUGACCGGAGUACUGAGAUUGAUCAAACUGAAUACUGAGAUUUACUGAGUUUCCUUAACUUUUGUCACUAACUAAAAUAUACUGAUCAAAGAACGACUGAGAUUAUCUUGAGAAUGACUCAACUCUAGACAAAUAGCUAAGUUUUUGGGUAUUAAAUACCCCUAGGAUUUGAUAACAUAAAUAAACAAGACAUGAUUACUCUUGCGUAAUAAUCAUAACAAUAAACUAUCAUUCACAAUAUAACCAAUGAAGCAUCAUUCCGAGCACUUGGGAAUCUUAAACAUGUAAUUGUAAAGGAAAGCAUACUAUUGUCUCAUAACUCAUCCAACAAGAAGUUCACAUGAAUAGGCAGACAUGCAACAUAUCAUAAUUCAUUCAUUUAUUCCUUUCAACAAACACAUAGCAUGCACUAGUUGACACAUUCUUGGGGAUAUUAUACUCAUGUUACAAUGACACUAUUUUUUUCGCAUAAGCAAUUUAUCAAGCAUGUGGGAGGCACCCUUUAGUCAUACAACUUUCAAUACACCAAAUUAACAUAAUUACAUAAUUCAAAAUACUUCUUGAAGGGAAUUUAUCCUGAACAUCACAUAACUAAUAGAUACUAAGGUCAAUACUUUUAUCUUUAUGAUCACAACAUGAAUCAAAACUCCAUGUCAACAAGGACUUCAACUUCAAACCACAUAAAUCAUGGAAAUUCAAAAAAAUAUAAUCUUUGAACUUUAAAAGAAUUCUUGAACUUCUUGUGUGGAAGGAACCCAAAAAUCAACAUCAAACAUACCUUGCUAUGUAAUUCUUGAAAGAUUCACGGUGAAACCUUGAUGAUUUGGGUCUUGGAUUAGAAACCCUAGGUCUUGUUCUUGAAGAAAAUUUAGAGAAAACAAUGAUAUGUGGGUGAAAUAAUGAGAAAUCUUGAGUUAAGGAGUACAUAUAGAGUUAACAAAAUGACCGUUUUGCCCUUGGAAUAAAAAUACGGAACUGGCAAAAUCCUGAUUUUACAUACUGGUGUGACGCACCAUAAUCACGCCAGCUUACUAAAAACUAAAUAAUUAGGAAACUGCUUGAUGGAGAGACACAGUGGAAAUCGCGUUGCUACCUUGGUUGCGAACUGGAAAGUCACCACGAUACGGUGGAAUCGCAGAGGCUUAGUGAAUUUUGACAAUUUCCAAUUUGGCUGGCUCUAUGUGUGCUAAAGUAUCAGGUGGUACAUUGUCUCACUAAAAUGGCUCUAACUAUUCGCCCGAGUGUCGAAUUUGAGCAAAUUUGGUAUCGAUAGAAAACUUAUUCAAUUUUCCACAUGAUAGAAAGUUGAUAUUAGGGAAAUUAUACACGGUUUAAAAUAUUUAUCACUUAGGAAGUUAGACCUUACUCUUCUUAAGGAUGAAACUUGACUUAAAGAAAAUCUGAGGUAUUAUAAUUACUGAAGGGUACAAGUGUGGGGUGGUUAGUGCACCAAAGAAAUCUUUGAACUACCUGAUUGAGAAGCCUAAUAUUCUAUCACUUAAGCUUGAUUUGAUGCUAAUUGAUGAUCCUGAAAAGGCUAAAGUUAAAAAAACUAUUUCUCUUGAAAAUUUGCACCCAAGAGGGGUAAAGAGAAUAAGAAGAUGGAGGAAAAGUAUGAAAAGUGAAGGGAGGAAUAUGGUUGAUUUGAGCUGGGUUAUGUUGCGAUACUAAAUCAGGCGCUGGUUGGGAGCUAACCCAAGUUAACUAGGUACGAUUUCUUUUUUGUUUUUAGUUUUCAUUUUAUGUAGUUUUUGUUUUGGUUGAGUCACAGGUUGAUGGAAAGUAUGAGUACCAGAAACCUGAACUAAGAAGCAUGGAAAAGACUAAGUGUGGGGUCCUACAGACCUCCUUUAUGUGUAAAGAUGCUACUAGCUAGGCCUAAAGGCCUCAAGGAGUAUUUCUACCUCUUGCUUUUAAAUUUACUUUGGGGAUAAUGUAGAUUUUUAAGUGUGGGGUGGGGAAAUUCCUAAAUUUUGUCUCAAUUUAAAUUUUUUGGUGUAAGAUAUUCUUGUUGGUGCUAUUUUUGACUAUAUUAUGCAAGUGGUUAGUUUGAUAAAAUCAUGUUGAUGGUGUAAAUGACUACUUUUUAGACAGUUAGUCUUAUGUUUAUGACUCUUGUACUUGUUGGCUUAAUGUUGAAUUCAUGUUAUUAUUUGGUUGAUAGUCUAUGAUGAUCCUAUGUGAGUUGAGCAUGUGCCAUUUAUGAGUUGAGUUUUGUAUAUUCCUUGUUGCAUGUGAUGUCUAGAACUUGCCCAGUGUGUGUUAAAAGUAAAAUAAAGAAUGAGAGUUUAGGAGAUGAUUUAGGCAUUUCUUUGAUAGCCUUAUUUUAUAGCUUCUAUUUUUCCUACCCUUUGUGCGUUAUCCUAGUUAAUACCCAUUGAGCCUUUAGUCUUUUCUUUGGUAGCCACAUAAGUAGCCUAAUCCCUUCUUUUAUGGACCUUAAUUAGAUCCAAAAGCUUCUAGGUGCUUUAAUGAAAAAUUGAUUUAGUAUCAAGUUUGAGAAAUUAAAGAAGAAAAAGGUGAAAUUGAUGCCCCAAGGUAAUAGUUAUUGGUGUUUAUAUUUGAUGUGUCGUGGUUAGGAGUGAUAUAAAUGGUGUUAUAAAUAUUCCCAUGGUUGUAGAAAAUGAGAAAAAUUAAAUCUUGAAGGAAUAAGCAAUACGCCCACCAUGUGUUUGAGAAAAUACUUAAAAGAGAUGGGCUAAAACAAAAGAAUGGGGUAGACAAAAAUGGUGUAAAUUGGUUGUUGGAGAUUGGUUUUAAAUAUAUAAUGUAGUGUAUUAAAGCGCUUAGAGAGGUUAGUCACUUUUACAAAAUAGUUCCUACUCGUCCCUUAGCCUACAUGACAACCAAGAAAAGACUGAAUUGAUCCUAAGUUCAUCAUUGUGAUAUUAAUGGAUCAUUACACUAAGGUCAAGCCUAUGGUUCAUUAUGUGUAACUUAUGAAUUCCUUGUGAGAGUGAGUGUAGUUUGAUUCUUAUACCCAUGUUAUAAAUUGAUUAAUUAUGAGUGAUUAUGGGUAACUCUCUUGUUGUGAGGGGAACAUGUUUGGUGAAUAUGAAUGAUUUGAAUGAAGUCCUUGAUUGAAUUAUAAGCAUGAGUUUUCCAACUAGGUGAUUCAAUUCUUGAGGCUAGGAUGUUUUGGAGUAGUGUUCAAAAGCUUUCAAUUGUGUUUGUAACAUGCUUAGUGUAGAACUUGUAUUCUCUGUAGUCAUGGAAGUACUAACUUAAGUGUCUUGAAUAGAGUAGAAGUGUAGAGUCUCCAGAUGAUGAUGAUUAUAUUUAAGAGUUGUUCGAGGACGAACAAGGCUUGAAGUGUGGGGUAAUGAUGUUGGGUGUAUUUAUGCAUUCUCGUAUCACUAUUCUAGCCUUUUUAGCCUUGUUUUAAGGAUGAUUAGUACACUAUCUGGGUUAAUAAUGAAAUAAAUGUUUAGUAAAGCAUUAAAUCAUGUGUUUAUAAUGUUCAAAGUGAAUUCCAAACAAGUUUGUACUUGAUUAGGUCAUUUAGAGUUCAACUCGGAAAACUUGUGUUACUAGAUUGACCUAGAUGCUUGUUUAGUUGGUCUCAUUGGAUUCUAGUGUUUUUAAUGAGUCACUUAUGGUUUAAAUAGGUGAUUAUGAGUUGAAUAACUUGUUGGUAGUGAGAAAAGUUCAAUUUUAGUGAGUGUACAGCUGGAAUAAUAAGUGAAAGAUCAAUGCGAACUAGCCUAUAGGUAUUGUGUUGUGAUUGUCUUUAAUUCAUGUGGUGUGAUUUUGUAGGAAUAUUUGGGACCUGAAUAUGAUGAUAUUUUGAUAUUUAAAAGGCUAUAAAUCCAUGGGGAAGACACCAGAAGACAAAGGACUAAGAGGGGAGACUCAACACAUAGCCAAAAUUUGGGAGACAACUUCCAGAGAGCCAAGACUAUUUGGAAGCGAUGCCUUAUCCAUAGAGGUGCUAUAGGUGGGGUGACGCCCUGGCUAGAGCGGGGAUCUAGGUGAGGCCACCCUUUUGAUAGAGCAGGGCUCAACUUGGGGUGGUACUCUCUCCACUCCGCGGCUCAAUAACUGAACGUUUCCAACUUCUACACGGGUUUGGUUUACCAUUAGGAUAUAAAUACAUCAUGGUCAUGUUUUUUUACACAUCUUGGAACAUAUUGUGGAGAUCUAGAGGCUGCUACAACUUCAUAAUUAGGUUUUUAUUAUUUUAAUUUAGUUCAUACAUGUUUUUAGUCAUUAAUUACAACCUUGUGAUUAUGAUUAUCUAUACAUGGCUAAACACCCUCUUUCCGAGAUUAAAGCCAAGAACAUGAGUAUUAUUGUUUGGAAUUAAAUUUGUUUGAUUUGCUUAUAAUUAUUGGUUAUUUUUUUAUUAUUAGUAUAACUAUUUUAAGUAUUCGCGACCCUUAGAAUACAUCUAUUGUCAACCUUGUGAACUCGGGAGAGGGAAUAGGGAGAUAGAACAUGGGAAUAAACAUAGUAUGGUUUGUGUUCUUUUAUGAAAUAAGGAAUUCAAAUUAGUGUCUAGGAUAGGGAUGUAUUUUGAUGCCUUACUUGAUUCACAUGUAGGAUGAUAGCUUAAAUAACUUAAGUGGACUAUUACAUCCCCGCUCAACAAUGUAGUUGUAAGGUUCAACUUAGGUAAAUGAUUACAGGUCAAGAGACCAUGAUCAUGAACUUAAUCCUACGAAUCAAAAACCAAAAUAAGCAAGUUAACGAAUGAAAUUCAAUACGUAGUAUGAUUCUUUAAAGUGCUUUAAUCCUGGGUUUUCUCCUAUUGAUGGUUUCAUGAUCUGCACUUUCCGCAUUGUUUACUUUUCUUCAAUUUACAAAUUCUGAACUCUUUUUUGCUAUUGUAGCAUCGAGUUAAUAAAUUGUGAACUGAUAUUGAAUCGUUGCUGAAUGAAGUCUUUGUGGGAUCGAUACUUGGCUUCUUGAAGGCCACUUUAAUACUUGAUAAUACCACGUACACUUACGUGUGUGCUUGGUGCUACCAUCAUUCAGACGGUAAUUAUAAUAAGUUUUUUGUUCAGUUAAGUUUAGUUCAAUUUAGAAUCAAUGUCUUUUGGUUGGGAGUAAAACUUUAGCAUCGAGUGAACAUAGGGAUGGCAUCUCCCUCGUCAGUUAGGCAUGAGGCACUUGUUUCCCCCAUCAGUUAGGCAUGAGAUGUUAGCAGUAGUCCCUAAGUUCUAGACCUAUGGUGCUACCAUAGACUUUGAGGGAUCCCCCAUCAGUUAGGCAUGACACCCUACUCCUUUAGGAUAUUAGAUUUGGGGAUCCAUACAACCAACAAUAAUACCGGUGACACGGUAGUGACACCCUUCCUACUGUGGUUACAGGUUGGACCGCAAUAAUAUAUUUGGGGCAUGUUAGUUAUAGGUAGCUCCUAUAGUCUCAGUUCAGUAUUCUGUACAGAGUUUAGUUCAGGUUUGCUUGACGAAAGCAUACAGACUUCCAGUUAUUCAGUUAUCAUAUUUUAGUAAUUUAGUUUACAGAUUGUUUCAAAAAUAUUAUAUGCUUGGUCUUGCAUUCUUAGUAUUUCAGUUUUCAUGCGUGCAUAUUGAGUUGUCUCAUGCUAUUCAGUUUGUCAUUACUUUAUGCACAAUUGACCCAUGUAUUUUAGUCUAACCUCAUUGCAUAUAUGUAAUAACCAGUAUUUCCCUAGCUAAAAUUAACACUCAGUCCAUGAGUUACCCAAUGUAAAUUUUUUAAAUAGUCAGUAUUUUUCAGUUUAUAGAUUACCAAAGCGUAGAAAAUCCAGUCAAAUUUCUAAUAAUAUAAAAUUCAACCAAAUCAGAUACCCGGGCAAAGAGUUAGAGGCAUUUUUGUGAAACAGUGCACCACCUGGUACUUUAGCAUAUCGCGGAGGCAGUCCAAAUGAUAAUUGUCAUUUUCCAGUGAGCUAAUGCGAUACCACCGCAUCGCGCCCCCAGCCAAUUUCCCAAUUAUCACUUUUCCAGUGUUGCUCCAUGAUAAUGGAACAUCACACCAAGGCACAAUUUCCCAUCUAGUGAGUCAACAUGAUGGUGUCGCAUCGCACCAUCAGUCCAAUUCUCAGUUGUCCACUUUCCAGUGAGCCGGUGCGAUUGUACGCAUCACCGCGGGGUGAAAAAUUAGGAUUUCUAGCUUCCAUUAUUUAAUUUUAGGGGCUGUUUGGUCAAUUCUCAAAACUCAUAAUCAGCCUAAACAUGCUAUUUAUACCCUAAAUAACCUAAUAUCGAUUAUUCACUCUUUUUUCUCAAGAUUUAAAAUAUUCUCUCUUAAGAGGCAAAACCCCUAGCUUCAAUAAUCAAGGUCAAUACUCAAGAAAUCCUCCAAGAACCUUCAAGAACUCUUCUUCUCAGGUAUGUUAGGUGUUCAUUCAUGGGUUCCUUUCACCUAUGAAGUCAAAGAACCCUUUUAAAACAUACAAGAUCUCAGAUUCACCAUUUCAAUAUUUGAAUUAGAUUGCAUUCAUGUUCAUGAUAUUAGUUGGGUUUCAAUCCAUGAUUUAUUUGCAAGUUUCAUGAAAAUUGAAUAGCAUGUGUGAUAAAUAGGUGACUAUCUUGAUAAACCCUUGAAUUUACAAAUUGAUUAAUGUAUGAUGAUAUUUAUGUGUUGGCCAUUAUCAUGUAAGUAAUCCAUGUUCCCUAAGCGUUGUCUUAAUUGUCUAUGUGUAGUAAAUAGUAGAAUCAUGACAUACUAUUAUAUGAUCCCAAUCAUGUACAAGCUUAUGCCCUACAAGUGUUUGAAGUUCUUAUGCGAAUUGACUAGUGAGAGCAUGCUAUGUUAUUAUGUGAUACCAUUAAUGCACAAGUUCACGUAUAUCAAGUGUUUGACAAAAUGUCUAAAUGAGUGCAUUGUUAGCAAGCAAGUAUUGUUAUUUCUUUCUGAUCAUGUUAUGUCUUUCUUUUUAUGCAAUUGAGUCUUGGGGGUAUUUAAUACCCUAUAAUAUAGCUGUUUACCAAGACUCAGUAUCAGUUACAAAAUAGUAUCAGUCAUGUCAUGAUCAGUAUAAUUCUAUCAGCUACAGAACUCAAUAGAACUCAGUCAGUUAAAGAACUCAGGAAAACUCAAAAAACUCAGAAUCAGUCCAGUCCAGUUCUGUAUACUCAGUUUAGUGUCUUUCAGUUAGGAGCAAGAUUUAGCACUGAGCGAGUAAAUAGGGGAAUCAUGAUAUGUUAUUAUGUGGUCCCAAUCAUGUACAAGCUUAUGCCCUACAAGUGUUUGAUGAAAUGCUUAUGUGAAUUGACUAGUGAAAGCAUGACAUAUUAUUUUGUAAUCCCAUUCAUGCACAAGUUCACGUAUAUCAAGUGUUUGAAAAAAUGUCUAAACGAGUGCAUUGUUACCAAGCAAGUAUUGUUAUGCCUUUAUAAUCAUGUUAUGUCUUUCUUUUUAUGCUUUCAAGUCGUGGGGGUAAUUAAUACCCAACAAUCUAGCUAUUUACCUAGAGUCAGUGUUAGUUACAGAAUUGUAUUAGUCAUGUCACGAUCAGUAGAAUUUAGUCAGAUACAAAACUCAGUAGAACUCAAUCAGUUACAGAACUCAAGAAAACUCAAAAAACUCAGUAUCAGUCUAGUCCAGUUCUGUAUACUCAGUUUAGUGUCUUUUAGUUGGUAGAAGGAUUUAACACAGAGCGAGUUCAGGGAUGACAGCUUCCCCAUCAGAGAGGCAGAGUUUUUAGUAGCAGUCUUUGUACUCUAGAACUACGUAGCCAGCGCAUGAUAAAGAGUCACCUGUUAGACUAGGCUUGACUACCUCCCAAGGGUCACCUAUUAGAUUAGGCUUGGCUCCACCCAAGUGUCACCCCUUAGUUAGGGUUGGCAUCCUAGUUUUCCAGUAUUAGUACUCAUGGCAUAGUAUUAGCUCCCUCCAGUUGGGGUUACAGGUUGGACCCCAAUCAGUUCAGAGAGGGGCAUUUCGGUUAGAUAAUUACCUCCCAUAAUUUUAGUUUUAGCCUUCAUUUAGAAUUUAGUUUAGUUUUAUAGAAUUAGGACUAUCAAACACAGUUAAUUAGUAUCAGUAAAUCAGUUAUCAGUAACUUUAGAUAUCAGUUACUCAGUUAUUAGAACAUAGUACUUAGCUUUAGAAAAGCUCAGAUACAGUAUAUAUUAAUGUAUGUCCAUAAUAUUGUAAACUCAGUGAUUUCAGUAGUAUCAGUUACUCAUGUACUCUUACAUUUAUUUACUCUAUAUAAUUCAGUCAGUUACUGUUCAUGCAUAUGAACCCUUUCAUUCAGCCUUACCUCAUCUAGUGUACCUGUACAUUCCAUGUUCUGACACACUCUUUUAUUAUGGUAUGAUGUCUCAUAUCAUAGGUUCGGAUGCUCAGGUUCCCUACCGCACUUAGAUAGAUCCAGUCAGCAAUCCAAGAUUUAGUAGUGUGUCCUCAUCUAUCGAGGAUAUGCUUUUAUUUUAGAAAUUCAGUAGUUUAAGUAUUGUAUUAGUUGGAGUUAGUUGGGAGCUUGUCCUAUCAACUUUUUAUUUAGACAGUUCAGUUAGAGGCUUUCAGACUAGACCAGUUCAGACAGUGUUUAGUUUUUAGAUAUUUUUAUUAGAUGUUAUAAUUUAUAUGUAUUUAGAUUUUUAACCUUAUGGAAAUUCAUCCUAAUUACACAGUUUUUUUUAGUAUUACUAUUCAGUGCCCAUAGCAGAUAUCAGCCAUGGGUUAACAUGUGGUUCUUCGAGAUUGUAAGUACUGUGUGGUGUCCAGGGUGUACCCUCAGGGUGUUACAAACUUGGUAUCAGAGCCUAAUGUUUAACAGAGUCCUAGAGAGUCUGAAAUCCACAUCAAGUAGAGUCUUGUCCAUGGAGUGUAGUGCACCACACUUAUGGACAAGAGGCUAUGAGAUAUUUUAGAAAAAGUUUCCCUUCUUUCAGUAUUCAUUUCACGCAAGUGAGAAUUAGCUCAAGUUAAACUUUCAGAAUAAUUCAUCUCUUCCUUAUUCUUCUAGAAUAUGCUUCCCAGAGAAGCUAAUGGAAGAAGUAAUGAAAAUCAGAUAUCUCCUCCGCCCGUUCAGGUAGAUCUCCUGCAUGAGUAUAUCUCUCAUGCUGAAUUUAGAGCUGCUUUCUCUACCUUAGCUUAUUCAGUAGUUUCUCAGAACAAUUUAUAGACUGUUAUCCGAUUUAGGCUUUUGAAUUACACUCAAUAGAGUGAGGGAUAAGAGUGUAGGAAGAAUAAAAGAGCUAGAACAAAUAAUUCUAAGCCAAGAUCAGGGGGUAGCAACCGCUCUAAGUGCCAAUGCCCAAGUCUAAGAAUGUCAGUCAAAAUAAAGCACCUAGCUCUAAGUUAUAAGGCUAUGGGAAGGGUGUUUACAUUAACCUACUUUGCAGAGAAUAUGGUAAGAACCACAAUGGAGUGUGUAGAGCUGACAGUGAUGCUUGUUUUGGGUAUGAAAAGCCAGGUCAUAGACUCAGAGAUUGUCCUCAGUCAGGUUCUCAAGGUUAGUAUAACCAUACUUCAUCUUAGUCCAGUUACCCAAACCAGCAGGGCGCCACUUCCAGUACCACUAGUGGUCAGCGCCAGAAUAGAUUUUAUGCACUUCAGUCUUGCCAUGAUCAGGGAAGUUCUCAUGAUAUAGUUAUGGGUACAUUAUGAGUCUUUUAUCUUUUUAUUUAUGCCUUGUUAGAUCUCGAGGCUUUACUUUAUCUGUAACCCCUAUAUAGCUUUCAACUUUAGUGUCAGACCCAAAAUAUUAGCAGAGCCUUCCUCAUUGUCUACCCCCAAAUUUUAGACUAAAAUGGUGACAGUCCAAUUUAGAGUUGCUGAUUUAGUGGUUCACAGCUUUAGAAUGAUGGCUUUAAGCUAAGGGGGAGAUUUUAGAACAAGUAACCAAGUCAAGCUUUCAGAUUUUAGUAGUAAUGUCAGUAAUGUCAGUACUCAUGCCUUAUAUGUCAGUUCUAUGAUCAGAGCUCCUAUUUGUACACGCUAUCGAAAAUCAUGUACGUUUACAGUUUUUAGUAUGAGCAGUUCUAGUUCACUCAAUUUUAUGAAUCACGUUUCUUGAACACAAAAACUCCAAACUCAGGUCAUGGAAAUCAUGACUCAUGUACUCAUGCCUUAUAGUGUGCUCAGUUUCCAUGACUUAUGCUAUACUAAUAAUGAUUAGCUAAAUUUGUAUUUCAUCAUGUAUAUCCUCAGUUUUGAUCUCUUGAUAAAUUCCAGGAUGUUAAUGUUCUAUUCCUCAGGUCUCAGUUAAGUGUCAAGUUUAGUAUAGUGUCUAUUCAUGCUUCAGGUCCCUAUGUUUUAACCUUUUGUGAACUCUCCUUAUGAAAUGAUUUAGUAAAGAAUAGUUUCUUAGAAAGGCGAGAGUAAAUGUUUCAUGUUAAGAAAAAAUUAUUGUAUGCUAGUUUUACACAAGGUUGUAGUGAUGGAGAUAGGAUUGAAUGUCAUGAUAAUGUGUAACUAGAUAAAUGUAUUUUAGAGAUUUAAGUAGGCUUGAACAUAGUGGGAGAAUUCAGUCCAGAUCAGACCUCAGUAGGAAGAGUUAUUAGUGCACAUAUUACAGAAUCUUAUCCAUGUUAUGAUUUCUUAUUCAGAUGUCUAUUUCAAAUCAUGCCAAGAUUUCCUUGCUCCUUAAAGUUAGUAGAACAUUAUAGAAAAAGUGUCAAGAAAUAUUCUAGUUGAGUAUAAGUUUUUAGUAUGAGUUAGUCCGUAAAUCCAGGAAUUCAGUUUAGCAGUCAGGCAGACAAGUUCGUAUGUUUUCCCAUCUUUCCAUUAAGUCACCCUAUCUGAAGUCUCCUAAAUAUGCCCAUUCCAAGAUGGAGCAUCCUAGUAGUUAUGAGUUUAGCCCAGUUCAUAUGUCAUGCCUUAAUUUCAGACCCCAAAUACUCAGUCCAGAUUCAGUUUGUAGGUGCCCCGUGCAUCAUCUCAGCUUUUCCUCAGUGUCUCAGCCAAGUCAGCAUUUUUUGAGGGACAUAAUGUCCCAAGAAGGAGAUGCACUAUAACCCCCAAUCUUUCAUGUCCCAAACCUUUUAUUUUAUCUUCACAUAACAAGAUUAAUUUUGAAGUAAGGGGUACUCAUAAGUUGGCUAUCUCAUUCAAAUCUCAGCCGUAUGACCAUUCCAUGGCAUGACAUCUAUUUAAGAAAAUUAGUUCAGUUCAUAAUAUUCAGUUUAUGUAUCAUGUUUCAGCCUCAGUUAUGUUCUCAUAUUCCCGUUCAUGCAUGUUCAGUAAAUGAUCUCAGGUUUAUCAAGAUUCUCAGCCUAAGGUAGCAGUCUUUCUUAGAUUUACUCAGUUCCAUGAUUCCGUUAGAGUUGUAAACUUGGUAUUCCCUACCAUUACACCUUCAGUCAUGUAUUCAUGAAUCAGUUCAGUCAUGUUUUUCAUGCAUCAGAUAUGCAUGGUUAGUACGAAAACUCAGCGUAUCAGUAGUUUUAGUCAAGUAGUCAAUUUUUAGUUGUGCAUGUUCAGCGUUUAAACUCAGUCUAUCAGUGUUUCUUGGCUUAAUCAGUCUCAUUCAAGGAUGAAUGUUCCCAAGGGGGAGAUAUUGUAAUUCCCUAUAUUUUCUUAGCUAAAAUUAACUCUCAGUCCAUGAGUUACCUAAUGUAAAAUUCUUGAAAUACUCAAUAUUUUUCAGUUUAGUUCUCACCAAUGCGUAGGAAAUUCAGUUAGCUUUCCAACGAUAUAAAAUUCGCCCAAAUUCGAUACCCGGGCGAAGAGUUGGAGCCAUUUUUCUAAAAUAGUGUACCAGCUAGUACUUCAGCGUGUCAUAGGGGCAGUCCAAAUGGCAAUUGUCAUUUUCUAGUGAGCCAAUGUGAUACCACCGCAUUGCGCCACCAGCCAAUUUUGCAAUUGUCACUUUUCUAGAGUUGCUCUAUGAUAAUGGCGUGUCGCGCCAAGGUCUAGUUUCCCAUCUAGUAAGGUACGACAAUGGCACCGCGUCGCGCCAUCAACCCAGUUCCCAGUUGUCCACUUUCUAGUGAGCCGACGUGAUUGUACCGCAUUGCACCGGGGUGAAAAAUUGGGGUUUUCAGCUUCCAUUUUUUAAUUUCAGGGGCUGUUUGGACAAUUCUCAAAACCCCUAAUUAGCCUAAACACUAGAUUUAUACCCUAAAUAACCUAAUAUCUCAUUAUUCAUUCACUUUUCUCAAGAUUUAAAACGUUCUCUCCCAAGACGAAAAAACCCUAGCUUAAAGAAUCAAGGUCAAUUCUCAAGAAAUCCUCUAAGAACCUUUAAGAACUCUUCUUCUCAGGUAUUUUAGGUGUUCAUUCAGGAUCUCCUUUCACCCAUGAAGUCCAAGAAUCCUUUUUAAACAUACAAGAUCUCAGAUUCAUGAUUUCAAUGUUUGAAUUAGAUUGAAUAUAUGUUCAUGAUAUUAGUUGGGUUUCAAUCCAUUAUUUAAUUGCAAGUUUCAUGAAAAUUGAAUAGCAUGUGUGAUGAAGAGGUGAUUAUCUUGAUAAACCCUUGAAUUUACAAAUUGAUUAAUGUAUCAUGAUAUUUAUAUGUUGGCCAUUAUCAUGUAAUUAAUCCAUGUUCCCUAAGUGUUUGCUUAAUUGCCUAUGUGAAGUAAAUAGUAGAAUCAUGACAUACUAUUAUGUGGUCCCAAUCAUGUACAAGCUUAUGCCCUACAAGUAUUUGAAGAAGUGCUUAAGUAAAUUGACUAGGAAAAGCAUGAUAUGUUAUUAUGUGAUACCAUUCAUGCACAAGUUCACAUAUAUCAAGUGUUUGACAAAAUGUCUAAAUGAGUGCAAUGUUAGCAAGCAAGUAUUGUUAUUCCUUUAUGAUCAUGUUAUGUCUUUCUUUUUAUGCUAUCGAGUCCUGGGGGUAUUUAAUACCUAAUAAUCUAGCUGUUUACCAAGAGUCAGUGUUAGUUAUAUAAUAGUAUCAGUCAUGUCAUGAUCAGUAUAAUUUUGUCAGCUCAAGAAUUAAUAGAACUCAGUCAGUUACAGAACUCAAUAAAACUCAAAAAACUCAGUAUCAGUCCAGUCCAGUUCUAUAUACUCAGUUCAGUGUCUUUCAGUUGGGAGCAGGAUUUAGCACUGAGUGAGUGCAGGGAUGACAACUUCCCCAUCAGAGAGACAGAGUCAUUAGUAGAAGUCAUUAUACUCCAGAACUACGAAUCUAGUGCAAGAUGAGGAGUCACCUGUCAGACUAGGCUUGACUACCUUCCAGGGGUCACCCGUUAUAUUAGGCUUGGCUCCAUCCAGGUGUCACCCGUCAGUUAGGCUUGGUAUCUUGGUUUUCCAUUGUUAGUACCCAUGGCAUGGUAUUAUCACCGUUCCAGCUGGGGUUAUAGGUUGGACCACAAUUAGUUCAGAGAGGGGUUACAGGUUAGACGAUCAACUCCCACAAUUUCAGUUUCAAUCUUAGUUUAGAAUUCAAUUUAGUUUUACAAAAUCAGGACUGUCAGACACAGACAAUCAGUAUCAGUAAAUCAUAUAUUAGUAACUUCAGAUAUUAGUUACUCAAUUAUCAGUACUCAAUACUUAGCUUCAGAAAAGCUCAGAUAUAGUAUAUGUUUAUGUAUGUCCAUAGUAUUGCAUACUUAGUGAUUUCAGUAGUAUCAGUUACUCACAUACUUUUAUAUUUAGUUACUUUAUAUCAUUCAGUCAGUUACUAUUCAUGCAUAUGAACCCUUGUAUUCAGCCUUAUUUCAUCUAGCAUACCAGUACAUUCCGCGUACUAAUGCAUACCCUUUCUUUGCGCUAUGAUGUAUCAUAUCAUAGGUUUGGAUGCUUAGGUUCCCGACCACACUUAGACAAAUCCAGUCAAUAGUCCUAAAUUUAGUAGUUAGUCCUCAUCUAUCGAUGAUAUGCUUUUAUUUUAGUAGUUCAGUAGUUUAAGUAUUGUAUUAGUUAGAGUUAAUAAGUUGAUAACGAGCUAAUGGUUCACAUAUUAUGAGGUUGAUAUGGACAUAGCUCUACAUAUGUUAUUAUUGUCGAUAUCAUAGUUGUUUAUGAUAUGGUUGAUACUCUUGAGGGUUAAAUGACUUAUUGGUGCGUAUUGUUUGACCUGUCCGUGAUGUAUUUGCUAAUUAAUUGAAUUACUUGUUAUGUGUUGAUGCUUGUCUUCUUGUUAUUUUAUUUAUAUUUUACAAAUGUUGUUAAAUUGAAUUACGCUAUGAUACCUACCAGUACAUAGUAAUUAUACUGACACUACCCUGUACACUUAUUUUAUUGAGUUUAGUAAGUGUCCUUGAGCCUCAAACAUGACCUUAUAUCUAGCGUUUGAUAACUAAUCUCAAUCCAAGGGUUAGCACCCCGUGUCUAGGCUAUCAUGCAUCAUUAUAUUAGUUCUUGCCCUCUUUUCGACAAUUAGAAACUCUGUAUCUUUUGUUAUUUUGGAUAUUUCUCUUAGGCAUGAUUUUGUACUCGAAGUUCUUCUACAAUGACUUUAAGGUCCUGGGGAUUAUAAUAGGUAGUUAUUUUUUUUAGCAUUAGUAAUGAUUAGUUUUGGAUUUAUUAUUAUUAAGAUGGAGUUUAUGGUAACCUCAUCAUAACAUUAAUCAAAUAAUUGGGUAAUGGUUUGGUUUAGACGGUUCUCCUAAUGAAGGAUUAGUGUGGGUACCACUCACGUUUAUUUGGGUCUUGAUAGAGUUCGUAUCAAAGCCCUAGAUUUAUCUAUCUCAUUAUAUAAAAAAAUUGUAAUAGAGUCUUAUGGGACGGUACGAAGAUAUGUAUACUUUUCUUUGAGAGGCUAUAGAAAACUAGGAAAAUUCAAAAUUUUCUUUUUUUCGUAAUAUUACUUUAUUCCAAUUUGUAUCUAGAGAUCCAAAUUGGCAUCUGUCUUUUUUCAUUAUUAUUCUUACAAAUGGUGAGAAAAUUAUCAAAUACAGAAAGAAUAGAUGUAUUUGAAUCUAUCAUUGGGGCUGCAUUUUAUGGAAAAGGACAGAUGAGGGGAGGAUGAGGAAGAGGAAUCAAAGAUAUGAUAAGAUAAGAAUCAAAGACAAGUACAUCUAAAUAAAGAAAAAAGAUAUGUGGAUUAAUACUAAGUAGUUGAAAUUAUAGGAAACAACGGGAAAGAACCUUCACCUCCAAAUUAAUUUCAACAACCAAAAUAAUUAAUCCUACUCAAUGAUCAAAUUAAAACAAAAGAUUAACCACAAAUGGAUGACACUUUGAUUAAUUAAGUAAAAAAGUUAACUAACAAUUAGAUUUUGCCAUAAUCACUCACAAAUUCACUAAGCAAAAUCACUAAGAAAUAAUUUAGCAACAACAAAUUUGAUAAUAAUCUCAAUAUUCUACAUAAGCUAAUCUUUCAAAAUGAAAAAGUCCCCUAUUUAUACAAAGAACGGGAUGAAGGCAUUAGCUUUUAUAUUUUUCCCUUAAUGAGACAAGGUACUUGUUUGGAUGCCUUCUUUUGUGAAUCAUUGAGUAUAAAAAGAUAGACACUUGCACAAAUGGCCUUUUUCCUUCUCCACUUCACUUUUAUGAACCUUUUAUAUAUUUUAAGAUUUCCACUGACAUUCUUCAAGCUUCCCUCAAACUUUCUUUUGCUUGAGCAUCAAUUGUAUUACGUAAUUCUCCCUUGCUUGACUUUUUGUGAAAGGUCUUGAGAGAAAUAUUCCAUCCAUGCCAUUAUCAUCCUCUAUUUCUUAAAGAGGAUUACCCUUAAAUCCAAAGGCUCAUCUAUAACAAAACAAGAUAGAUCACUAACAUUAAAAACAUUAUGAACAUCAUAUUCACUUGGAAAGUUGACCAUGUAUGCAUUGUAAUUGAUCCCCUUGAGUAAUUUGAAGGGAACAUCGCCCCUCGGUCUAAGCUCCUCUUUUUGAAUUUAAAGAAACCCGUCCUUUUGGAAAUGAACCCACACCCAAACUUCUAGAUUGAAGAUCACUUUCUUUCUCCCAUGAUUCUUCCAAAUUGAUACCUUUGAAUUAUUCUUUUCAAUGUCCUAUUUUACCUUAUAAUGAAUGUUUAAUCAUCUCCCUUUCCCUUUGUUUGGCAUCUAAACUCACAAAAACAUAACUAGAGAAAGAGUUACGGUUAUUGGAAACAAAUGCUUAAAGAUAUAACAUGCUUCAAAUGGUGACAUUCCAAUAGAAGAGUAGAAAGACCAAUUAUAUGUAAACUCAAUCAAUUGUAAAUUAUCUUUCUAAUUAGUUGGGGUUCCUUUAAUCAUACAUCUAAGCAUGCUUCCAAGAGACUGAUUGACUACUUUGAUUUGCCAUCCAUUUGGGGAUGAUAAGAAGUAGAGAACAUAAUUUUUGUACCAAGAGUAACCUAUAGACUCUUCCAAAAAUGGAUAAAUUUUUUUGAAUCCCUAUCACUCAUAAUAAUUUGAGGGACUCUGUGCAAUUUAAGAACAUUGAUGACAAACAAGGAUGCAACAUGGGAUGCAACAUCAAACUUAUGGCAUGGAAUAAAAUGACUCAUUUUAGAAAUUCUGUCCAGUCCACAAAUAUGAUGUCAUGUCCUCUCUUAGCCCUAUGAAGGACUAGCAUAAAAUCCAUAUAAAUGUUCAUUCAUAGACCACUAAUAGUAGUAAAAGGUGUAUAUUUACCUGAGGUAGAGUGUUGGAUUUUGAUUUCUUGCAUUCAAGGCAUUUUCCACAAAUUCAAUCCACAUCAUGCUUUAUAUUGGGCUAAUGAAAUUACUCCAUGAUAAUGUCAAGUAUCUUGGGUACCCAAAGUGACCGAUAAAACCACCACUAUAAUCCUCCUUAAUGAACAACUCUUUCCAUAAGCUUAUGGGCACACAAUCCUACACAUUUCUGAACAAAAAUCCAUUAGUUGGUUGAAAUCUAUCAACUCACUUUCCUUGAUAAUGACUUUCAAAAGACCCUUUGAAAUUGGGGUCCAUAGAAUAAAAUCCCUUCAAGCUCUUAAAUCCCAUAACCUUAUAAUCUAAAGCACUGACCAACACAUACCUUCUUGAUAUAGUAUCUGCAACCACAUUCUCCUUUCCUUGCUUGUAGUUGAUAAUAUAUGGGAAGGUCUUAAAAAACUCAACCUAUUUAGCAUGUCACUUGUUCAAUUUAGAUUACGAAAUAGGAUAUAUCAAGGACUUAUAUUUGGUGCUUAUCAUGAAUGUUUUGUUCCAAAAUUAGUAUUACCAAUGAGCCAACACCUGUAUAAGAACGUACAGUCCUUGUCAUAAAUUGAGUACCUUAGAGUGAUCCUUUUAGAUUUCCAUUAAUUAAUUUAAUGGUUUUCUUUCUUUCAUUAACCACCCAUAUUAAUACCACAAGCAUCGUAUUUAAUCUUAAAAGCUUUAUCAAAGUUGGUUAGUUGAAUUAAAUGUGAGGAACUCAAUAUUUAUUUGAAGGCUUGGAAUGACUUCUCUUAUUUAUCACCCCAUACAAAAGGUAUAUCUUUAUUUUCAAUUUAUUCAAAAGAGAAGCAAUUGAACUAAAAACCUUCAAAAAUCCAUGAAAACUUCUUACCUCGAUUGCAUUGGUUGGGGUCAGCCAAGUCUUGCUAGAUUUCAUGUAAGGGAUUGAUUUUGUGAAACUAUCAUUUUUAUAUAUUCUAAUUAUUUUACUCCUCCCCAUGUUUUCUUCAUGAUACUUCUAGAGUAUAGGGAUGAUUCACAUAAUCCCCAAUGUAUUUUAGUAUGUUUUAUGCAGUUUACGGCUUUUGAAGGAUAAAAAGGCUUUAGAGUUAACUUUGAUCAAUAUUUAUUCUUUUGUGCAUCAGAUGACACAAUGGACUAUACGAGUAGAUCUAAAAAGUUGAUUUUGGAUCAAUAGCAUGGUUGGUGUGAUUUUAUGGCUUGUGUACCCUAUUUUACCUCUUGGUUCGAAAAAUUGAGAGAUUGGGUCUCGGGGUCAAUUAUAUCAUAACAAUCUCUUUUUGAAAAUUUUAUGUUGCUAUUGUGUUUGAAGUAUCAAAUUUAAAAGGGUAACAUAGUUUUUUUACCUUCUUGAGAUUUUGGAUGAAUCUCGAGGGGUCGGCAGAGACUUAGAAGUUUUUCAAGUCCUAGCUGGUUUUAAUACCUUGCCUCUAAAAGCUUUUGUAUAUCAUACGACUCAUCCCUUGAUUCGUAUACACAACAUAUGAUUCAUUUGUUGAAAUCAUAUCCAUGAUAGUGCGAGAUAGGUAACAUUCUAUUAAAGGUAUGACUAUUUCCCUUGUGUCGUAUAUGCAUCAUACGAGUUGUAUGAAGUGAGUCACACCCAAGUCAAUGUCAGUUAAGGUAAGAUUCUAUCUAAGUUACAAGUAUAGGCUACUAGUCAUAUGAAGAUGGUACAAGUCAUAAGUGCCACUCAAAUUUUACAAGUGUAUAGUCUUAUAGAUUAUGUCCAACUUAUGAGUAAAGAAGACUAGUCAUUCCCUCACAAGUCAUAUAGUCGACUCGUAUAGAUUGCCAAAAAAUUCUAUAAUGUUCAGUUAAAGGGAUUUUUAAUCUUUUCCCUUAUUAUAAUUAAACCAAUGACCUAUAACCCUCAAAGAGGUUUAUUUUCCCCCAAAUCACAAACACUUAACACAUAAAUCUCCUCACCAUACUCAAGAACAACUUGGGUUUCAUCUUCAAAUUCAUCUUUCAAGUCCUAAGUUCAAGCCUACUAUAUCAAGUUAAGAAUUUUAAGGUAUGUGGGGUAUUCAUCAAUGGGUUCCUUCCAUCCAUUGAGCCAAAAAUCCUCUCUUAGUUUAAAAGCUUGAAUUUUAUCCUAUUUUAUGAAAUUAUCCUUGUAAUUUAUAAAGUAAAUCCAUGAACUUCAUGGUAAAUCAAAUUCUAGCUAUGCCAACAUGUGUUUCCAUGUUCUUUAAGUUAUUUUAAGUUUCAAUUCCAAUCUUCCAUGCCUUAGCCCCUUGAUUUCAUGAAGAGUCAUCAAUUUGUAAAUUAAACCAUGUUAUAUGUUUUCUUCCCAUGUUUAAUACAUUUCUAUGUUUAAAUUCAUGUAUUUCAGCAGUUACUAAAAUUUUCUAUCUUUUGGGUCUCUGAAUUAUGACUUUCUAUCUUUGCUUAAAUAUUGUUGUUGUAUUUUUGUAAUCAUUCAGUACUAGUGGGUUAUGAACACCUAAUACUUAUGCGUCCUUACAUAAUUUUUGUUUUCAAGUAAAAAGUCUGCCUUACCAUGGUUUUAUUAUCAUAUUCAGAAUAUCAAGUUUAUGCUGAGCACUUACAAGUACAGUAACAUGUUAUGUUAAAUGACAAAUAACACUAGUGUCAUUCAGUUGGAGGUAACACUUAGAAUUGAGUGAACACAGGGAUGAUGACUCCCUCGUCAUUAGAGGCAUGAGUCGUUAGUUGUAGUCCCUAAUUUCUAGACCCAAAACACCAUCAUAGAUUAUGAGGGGUCCCCCAUUAGUAGAGGCAUGACACCCUCGUUCUUUGGUACAUUAUCCUUAUGGAUCCACAUUGUCAGUCAUGUGUUGGUACCCCUGGCAAGUUACCAGUACCCUUCAAACUAGGGUUACAAGUUGGACCCCAAUAGCUCUGACUAAGGCAUGUCAGUUGUGGUCAGCCCCUACAGUCUCAGUGUAGUUUUUAGAGUAGUUUUCCAUGCCUUAACUAGAUAUUUGUAUGCCAGUAUUUCCACCGAGUCUGAGAAGAUUCAAAAGUUUGUAAAGGUGUUAGAUGUUUUACUUUAGCUUUCUGUGGUCCAGAUGGUAGUGUCACGAGAAAUCAUUUAAGGGGAUAGUGGAUCAUGCUAAGAUGGCUGAGUCUAUUCUUUGAGUGUCUUAGGGAGGCACCAAAAGGGUACACCAUCAGGACGAGUUCAGAGGACAAACUUCUUAAUUUAGGGAUUCUAGAGGUUUCUAUGGGUAUUAUGGUAGACCAGUGUAGGUAGAAUUGCAUGGUUCAGGUAGUGGUUUUUUGUUUUAAAAGAUUUUAGUGAUCAUUCUAGCUCAAUCAUACCUCUUCCCAUUAAGUUGGGCCAUAAAGGCUGCUUUAUAUAUGAUCAGGUUGGCCAUUUAGCCAAGGACUAUCCUAGCUAGGUUUUCAGAGCUAUUCAUAUAUUUGCUAUAAGAGGUAGAAUUUCUACUAGAGGUAGGUGAAAUAGAGGUAGUGGUGCCUAUGAUGCUCAUCACGAGGAUACUUAAUCGGGUGGUGGUUGUGGGUAGUGCUAUGCUAUACCCACCAUACUAGAUACUGAGGCUUUCAAUAGCUUUAUAACAGGUAUUAUCCUCAUUUAUUUUAGAUAUACAUCUAUGUUAUUUGAUCUAAGGUUGCCUUUAUCAUAUGUGUCUACAUAAUUUUCUUUGGGUUUUAAUUUAACUAUUGAACCUCUUUUUAUGCCUAUCAGUGUAUCAACCCAUGUUGGAUACUCUUUAGUAGUGGAUCGGGUGUACCAAUCUUGUGUAAUGAAUUUUUCUUAGUGUAAGACUUGGGUAGAUCCGAUUGUCUAAGAUAUGGUAGAUUUCAAUGACAUCUUGGGUAUGGACUAAUUAGUUCUUUACCAUGCUGUCCUAGAUUAUUUUUUUAAGACCAUGACUUUAUCUAUACCAAAUGUUCCAAGGAUAGGUUGGAAUGGUGCACUUUCUUCAGGUCUUGAGGGAGUUAUAUAUUUCCUUCAGGCUCAUCAUUUUGCUGAGAGGGGAUGUUUGCCUUAUUUGGCCCAUAUUUAUGAUACUAGAGUUGUUUCUUUACUUUCUUUGGAUUCUAUUUGUAUUGCCUAUCAAUACAUAGAUGUAUUCCCUACAGACUUGCCUGUUAUGCCUCCAAUUUGUUAUUGAUAUUGAGAUGAGAACCAAGCCUAUUUUUAUUCCUCCAUUUAGGAUGGCGCCAAUCGAGUUGAAAGAAUAGAAUAAUCAGUUGUAGGAGUUAUUGGAUAAAGUAUUUAUCUGACCUAGUAUAUAAUCUCGGGGUGCACCUAUCUUGUUUGUGAUGAAAAAUAAUAGGUCUAUGCAUAUUUUUAUUGAUUAUCGAUAGUUAAAUAAGGUGAAUGUUAAGAAUAAGAAUUCCUUUCCUCAUAUUGAUGAUUUUUUUGAUCAGCUUUAGGGUACUUUAUUAUUUUUAAAGAAUGAUUUGAGAUUUGAAUAUCACCUGUUAAGGAUUAGAGCUUCAAAUACAAAUACAGCUUUUUGGACUCAAUACAAUCACUAUGAGUUCAUGGUCAUGUCUUUUGGGUAGACAAAUGCCCCAACCACGUUCAUGGAGUUAAUGAAUAGGGUAUGACAAUCGUAUCUCGAUGCUUUUGUCAUUGUAAUUAUAAAUGAUAUCUUGGUUUAUUCCAAGUGUGACACUGAUCAUGAGGAUCAUUUAUGAAUUGUGCUUCAGAGAUUGAAGGAUGAGAAGUUGUAUGCUAAGCUCUUUAAGUGUGAGUUUUGGUUUUAUUCUAGUUCUUUAUUAGGUCAUGUGAUGGCCAAGAAUGGUACUAGGGUCGAUUCGUCAAAGAUAGUUGUGGUUUGUGUUUGGGAUAUACUCGCUUAUCCUACUGAGAUUUAGAGUUUUAUUGAUUAAGUAGGUUACCAUAAAUGUUUUAUUUAGGGUUUUUCAGCCAUUAUAGCUCUAUUAACUGUGUUGAUUCAAAAUAAUAUUUCUUUUUAGUGGUUUGAUGCUUGUAAGGUGAGCUUCUAAAAGCUUAAGGAUUUGUUGACUUUAAGUCCUACCCUAACCUUGUCCAAGAAAGGUAUGGGUUAAACCAUUAUUUAUGAUACUUCAGCUUUUGAGUUAGGUAUUGUGUUGAUGCGGAAGGGUAAGGUGAUUAUUUAUGCUUCUCAUUGGUUGAAUUCCCAUGAGGGGAAUUACUAUACGCAUGAUUUGGAGUUGUGUGCAAUUGUUUUUUCUUUGAGGUUAUAGAUAAACUACAUGUACAGAAUCCAUUAUGAAAUUUUCACCUGUAACCUUUUGUAUUUCUAAACCCAGCAAGAUUUUAAUAUAAGGCAGUGAUAUUGGGUUUAGUUGCUUAAAGAUUGUGAUCUUACUAUUCUCUAUCAUAUAGGCAAGGCUAAUGUAAGUACAAAUUCCUUGAGUCGAACGUUGGCUAACAUGGGUAGCUUGGAUCAUCUUUUGACCAAGGAGAGGCCUUUGUCCUUAGAGAUUUAGAAUUUGGCUAACUAGAUAGUUAGGCUUUAUAUUUUUAUAUUUAGGUGUAUUUUGGCAUUUGUAGAGGCUAGGUCUUACUUUAAGGAGCAAAUUUAGGCUCAUCAGUUUGAUGAUGCUAGUUUAAGAGUGAUUUAAAUAAAGAUUUGAGUGGUGAGGCUAAGGAAGCCUUGCUUGAUUCCGAUGGUUCUUUGAGUAUUAGAGGCUAAGUUUAUAUGCUGAGAGUCGGUGAUUAGAAUAGAUUGAUUUUGUAGGAGGCUCAUUGUUCCAGGUAUUAUGUGCAUCUGCGACUAACUAAGAUGUAUCAUGACUUGAGGGAGCAAUACUGGGGGUUGGUAUAAAGAAGGAUGUAGCGGACUUUGUAGCUCAUUGCCUAGGUUUCUGAAACACCCUAGAUUUUGAUCCUUAGUAAUUUGCUGAGUCUUGAACUCUCUAGACUCCAUACAGUUAGAGGUAUUAGCCUUAUGUUUGCAUAUUCUUUAAAGGGUCUUGGUCGUAUCUUAAAUAGUGUGGUUGGGAUUGGUUUCUGUCAAAGGUACGAGUGGACAACAUGCAGGUCGUAUGUUAGGGCACGAGUUGUAUGGUGCUAACUCGUAUGUAAAUAAAUGUGUCCUUUAUCACAUUUUGCCUAGGAUACGAUUUGGGUGGGUACUAAUCAUAUGAUUGGUUACGAGUGGAACUUUGGAUUCAUAUGUUUAUCAGUAUAUGUGUGUGUGGUGGGGGUUGAGAUUCUUCUUGGUGUAAGAAUGGUGGGUACCACUCGUACCCUAGGGUACAGAGUGUGUGAUGGAGUCGUACCCUCUGGUGGGAGUUUUCGACAGUUUAAGUUGGGGGUAUUUUGGACAUUUCCCCUUAUAACUUAUUGGGACCCCAUGACAUAUAUAACUCUUAGGACGUCAUUAAGCCUAAUAGUCUAAUCUUAAAACACGUAGAAACUCUCUUAAUUUUUUUCUCAAAGGCUCUUGGGUUAAGGAAGGCUAAGGUUUCAUUAAUAGGAUAAAUUUAUGAAUUACAAUGGUGAUUUAUCUCCAUCAUCUUUGUAAUCUAAGGCAUGUUACUCCUCCCUCAUUGCUAGUUCCAACUAAAUAAAUGUUUUAUGAAUGGUUUUCAUGGCAUAAUUGUUGUAUGGUGUGUAUUUUUCAAAUAUAUGUUGGGAUUUUUAGCUAUAAUGGUUCAUUAUAGUUUUCCUAUGUCUUUUACAUAUGGUUAUCUUAUUAUAAUGAUGGAUUGAACAUUUGGUUGCAUGAAAAGGGUUAAUUGGUAUUUUUUUUUGCUUUGGAAACACUAUGCCCACAACAUGUUUGAUAAAAUGUCUAUGAGAAUGCAUUUACUAUAUUGUUGGACUUUUAAUGGAACUAUUGCAUGGUACACCUUGGUAAUGGAACACUAAAUGGUACAAAAUAUAUUAAAUGGUUUGGAAUGGUUAAAUGGUAAGGUCUUGGUCGUCUUGGUUAUGGUUUAAUUGAAAAUCCUUGAGGUGUAAAAGGAAAUCCCCCAAGCAAACAUAAUAAUGAACAUCUUGUGGGGUACAUGGGAAUUCCUCAAGCAACUAAAUAACGUAAUCAAUGGGUACAUAGGAAUCCCUUCUUUUUUAAAAGGUUGGCUAAGGGCAUUCCAUACAAGCUAUAAUCGUUAUGACGAUAUCAUUAAUUAUAGGCUUGGUUAAGAAUAAAUGGAAUGGUGGUUUGGUUGUAUGGUAAUGGUUUUAAUUGGGCAAUAAUGGCGGGGUGUGAUAGCUAAUGUGAACGUGUGAGUCCAAUGGACAGACACUGAAAACUCAUGUUUUCUGACAUAAGGAUCGGUCAUGGAGACCAUAUAUGAUACGGGGUACAUGGGCAUCCCCUAAGUACACUUGUACAUAUGUAUCAUGGAGAUGAAAGGGUCUUGGGCUGGUCAUAUUUAUGGACCUAUCCCAAUGUUUGAAUUAUACAAAAUAGCACUCUUGUCAUAUGCUUAAAAUUUAGCCAACUCAGGUUAUGCUUUUGGUCUGUUAGGUUGGGUAUUGGGGGUGGUCUACGAUCCUGGUUGCACUUGAGAUGCCUAUUAUGACAAGGCCCUACUUCGGGUUGUGUCAAGUUGGUAUCAAAGACUUAGGUUCAUGGUCAAUUAGGAAUCCACAAAGCCAUGUAGAGUAAAGUGUCCCUUAAGGGUAUGUAGCGCACCACACUCAUAAGGGAGAGGCUAUAAGGCAUUUACGAAUGUUUCUCUUUCUUGUGUUCUAAUUUCAAUCUUGGAGUCUAAGUCAUGGAAUCUUCUCUAAUUCUUGUUUAUUUUUUUUUCAGAUCAUGCCUCAAUGAUCUGAUACAAAUUAAAACUCCUCUAUCCUAACUGGGGAUAAUAUUGAUGGGAAAAUCUUUACUCAGGGUAUCUAUACACAGUCUAGGGGUCCAACACCUUAUUUUCUUGUGUUUCGUGAGUUUCUUCUAGUCCUCCUUAGGGGGACAUAAUGAAUUUGGAGUUUCAUCAGUUAAUUCAUGUGAUUGCUCAGUUUGUAGCUUCUCAGGCUGAGCGUAGUACAUCUAUUUUUCCAUCUUCUGUGGCCAUAAGGGUUGUCUAGUUCUUGUUGUUGAGUCCUCAAACCUUUACUGGCAUUAUGGCAAAGAAGGAUCCUCAGGGUUUUCUGGAUGUAAUGGAAAUGAUCUUCAGGGUGAUGUAGGCCACGAAUGUAGAAGUGGUGAAUUUUGCUUCCUAUCAUCUAAAAGAUAUAGCGUACCAAUGGUAUAAGGAAUGGUAUAGGGCAAGUGGUGAUGUUGAGGAUUUACCUUUAUGGGAUACUUUCUCUAAUGCAUUUCUCGACUACUUUUUUCUGUAGGAGUUGAGAGAACAAAAAAUAGAGGAAUUUGUUAAUCUAAAAUAGGUAAAAAUAUUGGUCAAGGAGUAUGCCUUUAAAUUUCAUCAAUUGUCUAGUUAUGCUCGAAAAUGGUGUCGGAUAUGAGGGCCAGGAUAAGAAAGUUUGCUUCAGGACUAUAUGGUGAGUCGAUCCUUGAAAGUAAGUCUUCCCUUACUGAUCAAGAAAAUGGAUAUUUUUAGGUUGGUUUUUCAUAUACAACAGAAGGAGAAGGAAAAGAGAAAAUAGAUUGAGGUAGGGGAAAGGCAGGGUAAGAAGUUCAAGCUCUUUAAUUAGUGUGGUCAACAACAAAGUGGUAAAAAUGGUAGUAAGUGGCUGAAAAAGUAGGGGAGUUCUGGUUCUUUCUCCAUAUCUAGUGCUCCUUACCUGAAGCCUUUGGGGUGACAAGUUUCAGCAUAGUGGUAAUAACUUCAGGGCACAGGGUGCCCAACAUCAGCCAAGUGGGUCACAGUCGGCCUUAUUAAGUCCUCUUUAUAGGUUCUGCGGUCAGUUACUAAGUGAUUUUUAUGAUGAGGGAAGGCACAAGUGCUUUAAAUAUUGUUAUCCAGGUCAUAUGCAUAGAAAUUUCCCAGUUGGUAAGGUCGCUUUGGGGGCGAACAAGGUUUUGGCUUCCUUUUCAACUGUUACUGCACCAAAGGGUGUUGCUUCUACAUCUAUUUCUUCUUUUGGUACCAAUGUAGGACGGAAUUAAUUAUAUGGUCUUGCCUUCCGACAUGAGUCCAAGCCAUCGCCAGAUGUUGUGACUGGUAUGUUGAAGACUUUCUCCCAUAAUAUGUAUUGCUUACUUUAUCUGGGGUCCAUUCUCUCUUAUGUGAACCCAUUUGUGGUAGUGUAUUUUGGUUUUGGUGCAGAGGUUAUUUCAAAUACAUUUUUUAUUUCUACUCUAGCAGGUAACUCUAUGGUUGCUAAAAGAUUCUAUAGGAGGUGUGAGGUAUCUAUUGGUAUUAAGGAGACUUUGGUGGAUUUUUAUGAAUUAGACAUGAUGGAUUUUGAUGUCAUUCUGGGUUUGGAUUGGUUACAUUCUUGUUAUGCGUCCUUAGAUUGUCGAACCCAUAAGGUUGUCUUUAAGUUCCCUAGUGAACCUGUUAUUGAAUAUAAGGAUGGUUCCCUAGCCCAUAAGGGGUGGCUUAUAUCUUAUCUAAGAAUUAAAUUCAACUUAUCAGCCAGCGUAAAAGUACAAAAUAGUUGUCAACAUUCAAUGAAUAUUUCCAAUUCUAUUGUUAAGAAAUUAUAACAUUAAGCCAAGCAUCAUUAUUAUGAUUUAUGAGGAGAGGUUAACUGUAAAUUUGAAGGAAGAAGGAAUCUUCAAUUAUGUUCUACAAUUAAGUUAAAAAAAUUUAAACAAAGAUUACCCAAAAAAAGGAGUCAAACAAAGAUUAAGUCAAAAGGAAAAAAACUUAUAGAAGAUAGAAUAGCGAAUAAAAAGUAACAAAAUACUGCUGGCAUAUGAAUUUGAACUCUGGUAUACUACGUAAAAUUUCAGCGCGUUUGCCACUACUCUACUUCGUCAACUGGUGCACCAGGUGACAUUUAAAUAAUAUACCAAUUUUCUUCAAAAUACAUAUAUACAUACAGUUUUCCGAUCAAAAUUUGCAGGUGCCAUGCCACCCCUGAACCCCACUAGAUCCGCCCCUAUAUUCAAUUUACCACCCUUUAGAUCAGUAAAAAUCACCCUUUAGUUCAUGUGGCUAUGCUAUUGCUGACCUGUCACCGAACCAACAAGUGUACUUGAAUUUGGACGUGUCUUGAGAGACCCUAUAGGGCGGGGAAGUUUCGGGCCAUGUCUCAUUUUCGUCAGGCCUCUCGUCAAGCCACACGAACCCUCGCGUCACGUUCGAUCUCCACCAGAGACUACAGUAAUGUGAGCGAUUUUUCCACGUUUUCGCGGACCCGCCAAUGCCAAAGAGAAUGUGGGAUAUGUUUGUUUUUUCUUCUAAAUUUUUGUUGAUAUUUUCUAGUUUGUUUGUAUCCUCAUAUCUUUUGGAGAAAUGAGGAGUGAAGAAGAUUAGUGAAAUGGAGGAGACUAAGCAAAUGACAAUUAGAAGGACCUUAAUCAUAAAAAUGGUGAAAAGAUUUGGGACUAAUUUGAGCCUAUUAGGCAAAGGGACAUAGCGGUUCAAGAGAGACAUCAAUUAAACUCUCUGCUUUAUUCUUCAAGAGAUCAUACGAGUUUUUCUGUAGAGUACUGAACCUAUGCAACCUAAAGGAUUUGUGGUUACAAAUACUUCUUAUUAAAGGUAAAGUAGGAGGUUCAACUUAAAUAAUUUUCAUAUUUAGAAAAUAAUCAUAUCAUUUUUAAUUUGAUUAAUAAAGAAAUAGUGUCAUUCUUGUAGGAACGGUUUCUUUUUUUUUUUUUCCUUUUACGCUAUCGGGGCAUCGUUAUUUGACGUGCUUCAAAUAGACUUACAUGUAAUAUCCUUUAAUGACUUGACACACACACGCAUAUAUAUAUAUAUAUAUAUAUAUAUAUAUAUAUAUAUAUAUAUUUAUCUUGUGUGUGUUUUUUUCACAUGUGAGAUAAUGAGAAAGUAACACCUGACGUUAUAACGCAUGUUAUAUCUAUUUAAAUCAUAUAAAUAAAUAUUGUAUUUCAAAUAUAGUUAUUGUUCAUUUAGUGUCAUCUUUUUCACAAAUGAAAGAAAUAUAUUCUAGGAUGCCUUAAAUUUUUUUUUUCGUUGUAUAUUCAUUAUUUUUUUAAUUGAUCAACAUCUUAAAAAGUCAAAAUUAACAAUUUCAAAUCAAGACAGGAAAACUAAACCUAACUGUUAUCAAAUCCCACAGUCCUAUCCCUUUUGAUUUUUCAUUUAGUUUUUGAUACCGAUAUUGCACCUAGAUUAAUUCGGAUUUGCUCCAGAUAGGUCCCAUAAGGGAGAAGCACACCAUACCAAGGAUUGUUUUCAUAUUUAGAACUCAAACUCGAAAUAUCUAAUUAAAGGAGAAGCAACUCCAUCCACUUGCACCACAUCCUUUGAUGGUCGCAAUCUUAUCCAUAUACCUCUUUAUCUUUAUUUACAAUUUUAUUAAAUUUUAAAAAGUAGAAAGACAAUUAAUGAGGUCUCCCAACAAAAAAUUUAGGCGUUAUUUUUGAAAGCUUAAAUCCCAUUAAAUUCUUAUAUCUUCUUUAUUGGCGUAGGUCAAAAUAUCAUUGAACUCUAUUAGCCUUUUAACUUUUAUUUUUUAGUUUCUUUUUUUUGUUUGUAACAUUAUUGUAUUUUUAUUUCUUUCAUGAUGGAUCUACAACUAACUCUAUUUUUUGGAGAACAAUAUCCAAAUUAGACCCUAACAAAAAACCUCUUAAAAAGAGAAAAAACCUAAAACACAAGACCAGAUUAAUUUAUAGGUUCAUCAUUCAAAUAAAGCUUUGCAUAUCAAGAUCCAAGACUUUAUAAGCUUAUAUUUCAAAUUCAACAAAUAAGUAUUAGUUAAAGAUUCAACUAUAAAAUUAAGGAAUAAUAUAUCAAAAUAUAGUUAAAUAACAUCAUUAAGACCAAGUCACAAUCAAACAAAGAGAAAGAAAGAAAAGAGAUAUGUACCGUUGAUCUUUUGACUACUCUAUUCGGCGGUAACAUGUUUAUUUCGUUCAAUUUUUUGGUUCAAAAUUUUCAACUGAAAGAGAAACACGAAAAAUUAUCAAAAGGAAAGAAUUCAUUGUCAAUUGUUAAUUAUAUAAUCUUCAAAGUCAUGAACCAAAAUAAAUAAAAAAAGUUUGAAUCAAAACUAAAAUAAGAAAGAAAGGUGAAGUAGAAGAAAUUUUGAUCCAAAAUAUCACUUAAAAAGAAUUCUAGAACUUUGUUUUUUAUAAGGUAAAAUUCUAAUUGAUUUAGAAUUGUUAAAUAUAUACUAUGAUAUUUUUUACCAUAUAUAAUAUGACUCAUUUAAACCUUUUCCAUUUUCUUAUCAAUUAAUGGAAAAUCUUCAUAUUAAAUUUUUCAUACGUUAAUCUUUGUUUUCUUUUGCUAAUUUUUUCAGUUAAAUAUACGUAGGUGUUCAAUACAUAUUUGUCAUAUAAAAUCUAACCAAAAUAAGAAUUACUAUAUAGAUAUUAUGGCUCGAACCAAUUGGAUUCCAUAUGAUGAGUUUAAUAUUAAUUAGGUCAUCCUAUGAAUAUGAAACCAAAACCAAAACAAAUUUGUACUACUAUCUAUUCCUCCAAUUCAAUAUUAGAACUUUAAUAAAUAUAAAAGGAAAUUUUGUAGUUGAUUUUUAAUAUCCUUAAUAUUACAAAAAAUAGCAAAAAAAUGAUUUUGUUUAUUGUAAAAUUUUUUAAUAAAGGAUAAAAAAUUCAAAUCACUUUUUAAAGGAUCUUCAUAUAUAUAUAUGUAUGUAUAUAUAUAUAUAUAUUCCAGUUAUGGAAGGACCUGUGCUAACAUGGAUCAAUAUAUGUUAUUUUUUUGUCUUAGUUUAUGUGAUACAAAUAUAAUUUAGAUAAUCAAUCAUUAAAAUAAUUUAAAUUUUAAAUAUCGUUAAUCUCUUCAUGCUCGUUCCAAGCUCAAAGUACCAUUUGUACAAAUAAGAAUCCUCUUCGUUACAUGAUUUCUUCUUCAUAUAGAUAUUUAUAGAAUUCUGCGGAAAGCCGUAUUCAAUGAAAGUCGUAUGUACGGCGUGAUUAAUAAUACUUUUUUCUCUAUUCUAAUUUAAGUGAUACUGAUAUAAUUUCGAGAGUCAAUCAAAUAUUUUUUAUCUUUUAUAUUUUUAAGUUGUUAAUAUGUGAUUUAUAAUGCUUUUAGUAUAAUUUUUUAAUAAAAUAUUAAUAUUCUCUCCGUUCCAAUUUAUGUGUCUUCUAAUUUUUAAAUAAUAUAUGUUACUAUAUCUCUUCCUCUAUCCCAUCAGAAUUUAUGUGGCACUAAUAUAACUUCGAUAAUCAAUCAAAUGUUUUAUGUUGACAUAUCAUUUUGUGUCUAUUUUAUCUUUUUUAUGAAAUAUUAAUAAUUUUUUAAUGCUUAAAUGAUCAUAAAAAUUAAUUAGGGGUGAUAUAUAAAAUCUCUAUUGAAACAGAGAAGCGGACAUGUCUUAAAUAACUUAUAACAACUAAUGAAAAGUGAUAUAACAAAAUUACUAUAAAAGAUACUUGUGGAAAAAAUUUAAAAGUCUCAUAUAAGACAUCAAGUUAAUUUAAAACAUCAAGAGUUAAUUUAUCAUUUUACGUCUAAUUUAUCUUUUUUAUUAAAUAUUAUUAAUUCAUAAAAAUUAAUUAGGGGUGAUAUAAUAAAAUCUCUAUUGAAACAGAGAAGCGGACAUGUCUUAAAUAACUUAUAACAACUAAUGAAAAGUGAUAUAACAAAAUUGCUAUAAAAGAUACUUGUGGAAAAAAUUUAAAAGUCUCGUAUAAGACAUCAAGUUAAUUUAAAACAUCAAGAGUUAAUUUAUCAUUUUAUUUCUAUUUUAUAUUUUUUAUUAAAUAUUAUUAAUCUUUUAAUACUUAAAUGACUUAUAAUAAUUAAUUAGAAAUGAUAUAGAAAAAUUACAAUUGAAACAGUUGAAGUAGACGGCUUAAGCAGGCGUGUCGAAGUCCCGCCAGCUUAUUGCCCUUUAUUAUUAGUGUCACACCCCUUUUUUAACCAAAAGAAUUAAUUUUAAGUUUGAAAGGGCUAUUAUUAUUAAGUGACAAAAGAUGAAAAAUUAUUUCGAAAAUGAUUUUUACAGUUAAAUUCAGAGUCGCCACUUGACAUAAAUCAGGUGUGCCAAGUCACUUUUGAAAAUCCUUUUUCAAAAUAGUUUUUGACUUUUUCAAAACUGAUCCACGGACAGAGAUUUCAGAUCAGAAAUUUUGUUGACCGAAGGGAAGGUGUUAGGCACCACUCGGUCCCGUGAUUCGACCACGGUCACUUUGCGGAGUAUAUCGGCUAUGUAGACACCAUAAAUGUAUAAACCAACCAACACAGACACAAGACAAACAAGAAACCAAACAAUCAAAAGUCCAAAAAAUAAUGUUCAGUCCAACUUAUGACAAUACGAAAUAAAAUGUCGAAAUUAAAACCUAAAAUAUUCUAACUAUCCUAGCUAUGGUUUACCCGAUGCCUCGGGCCUUGAUCACGAGUCUCCUUCGCGUACAAGAUACUUCGGGGCAUUACCUGAUGAAUAAAUACAAAUGACAUCGAGGCAUUCCUCGGCUAAAUGAAUACAUCUUUUCAAUGCGACAAAACAAAAUCAUUCAAACCAUUCAAGCAUUCAAUAAUCAUUAGUCCUAAGUAUUGCCUACCCAAAGCUUACAAUUUGCCUAUAAAUUUUGGCCUAUAAUACGAUACUAUUGAGUUCGACAAUAUAGUGUCCAUUUCAAAUUAAACAACAAUUUAAUAAAUUAAACUAACCACAUCCACCCUUUUUAUCAAUUUUUCAUUUACACCCCCACUAUUAAAAAAAUUCAACUUAAAGUCAACCAAUCAAACUACGAUAAUUACGAAGAAACUCAAACGCAUUCAAACAAAUCACCAAAUUAUAUCAUCAAACACGUUAAGAUAAAAAAGAGUUGAGUUAAGGAUUAGGACCUAAAAAAUAAUUGAUUUCUAUUGAUAAUAAUGAGUUAAUGAGGCCCGAACUCGAAAUCCUGAAUAAAAAACCUUAACAGAGAACAAAAAUCUAACUCGGCAUCGAGAAAUAUAAUCUGGACAGAUUUGACGCUGAUAGAAAAAUCCCAAAUCAAUAAUUCCAACCGAUCAUAAACUAACUCGCUGGAAUUGGAGUUGGUUGGCCGUUUGUGCCUCGCCGGAGCUUCAACAGACUACGUAGCCACGAAUCGAGGGUCUCUCUGAUAAAUAUUAUUGGAAAAAGUCAGAAACAGAGGAGGGCGGGGGAUUUCAAGGAUCUACGGGUGACGGGAUUUAACGAGGGACGCCGAUUCUGGAGACAAACUCACCGGAGACAUUUAACUCCGUCCAUUUUCCCUUCUCUCUCUGUUUUCCUCUUCUCCUCCGACCAGAUCUCUCCAUUUCUCUCUCACUUUGAUCAGCUCUCUCUUCGUUUCUUUUUUACUCUUUAUUAUUCUCUCUUUUUCGAUCUCUCCCCUUCGUCUGUGUGUGCGUGAAUAUUGUUGUUUGUUCUUGUGUGCAGGUGUAGGUAUUAUUGUCGUUCUGUGAGUGGGAUCUUUCGUGUGUGUAUAUGAAUUAUGUUAAUGGAAAUGUGAUCUGUGUCUUUUGUGAUGUGAGUGUAUGUGUAUGAUGAGAAAUUGAGGAUAUAUGGGCUUCUCUUAUAAUUUCUAGUGAAGUGUCUUUUCUUCUUUGUAAUGGGAAUUGUGGGUGUAUGAAUAUGGUGAAUGGAAGAAGGAAAAAGAAAAUCCAGAAAGAUGAUGAGUGUCUGUGUCGUGUAUAUUCUGUGUAUGUAAUAUUUUUUGUGUUGCUGUGUUAGUGAGUCUUGUGAUGUUGUGUAUUCCAGUGGGGUAUCGCUUAUCAUUGUGUGAGUGGGUAUGUGUAUUAGUAUUGUCUUUUUAGUCAAAGAAGAGAAAAAUAUAAAAUGGUAGUCGAGUUUUUGUAAGUUAAAUAGUUGUUGUGAUUGUCAGGUAGUGGGUGGGAUAAGGUGGGGGUAGGGGAUAGGUAGGGGUAGGUAAAUAGGUAAAAAUUAUUUUGGAGAGAAAAAAUAUUAUGUGUCUACAUCAUGCCCCCUUUGAAUGUAAACACAAACUAUUUUUAAACAAAGAAGUAGACAACGAGAUAGAAUUUUAUCCCAAUCAUUAUUCAAAAGAAAGAAACAAAAUGGAGAAGGUCAAUUGAGUCUUGAUUUUGGGCAUUCUACCUGUCUCAAGUUAUGUUAGAGUCGGUUCACAGAUAUCUCAAAUGAUUGGAAGGAGGGGGACUAUGCCUUGUUGGAGAGUUGAGUGGGAUCCUGUCGAGGUUUUGGUCCGCGGCUCUGCUAUUCAUCAAAGUUAAACAUUACAAGUUAAAAGAUAACUGAAAUUACGAAAUUCCUAUUUAUGCAGCUUCUUUUGGACUCUUGACUUGAGUUUCUGAUCUUUCAAAAUGUACAAAAGAUCUGAACUUCUUUGGGUUGAACUUAAGAAUAGAUACUUUCUCCAUACAAAAUUUGAUAUUUUAAGAUAAAAUCAUAAACUGACCAUGCUCUGUCGGUGGUACUUCUGAACCUUGAUCCUGAAUUUGAAAAUCUACACCUUAUUCUUUAGGCGGGCUCUAGACUUACAAUUUCUUCACUUUGUUGCUUGACUUUUAAUUUCUUCACCCUGUUCUUCAGGUGGGCUCCUGACUUUCAUUCUCAUCACUCUGUUCUUCAGGCAAGCUCCUAACUUACCAUUUCAUCACCCUGUUCCUUAGGCGGGCUCCUGACUUGCCAAUUCAUCACCCUGUUCUUCAAUAGGGCUCCUGACUUUAAAUUUCAUCACCCUGUUCUUUAGGCGGGUUCCUGAAAUCAAAAUCAAAACUAGAACGAAAAUUAUCCCUAACAAGGAUUAUGAUAAAGAAAGAUUUCAUUUUUCUAAAAGUAAUGUCCCAUUUUCCAGGAGGGUCCGGAACAUAAAGUAAUGCCCCCGUUUUCCAGGAGGGUCUAGAACAUAAAGUAAAUUUCCAUUAUUCAGGAGGGUCCUGAAAAGAAAGUAAAUUCUCAUUUUUCAGGAGGGUCCUGAACAUAAAAUAACUUCCCAUUUUCCAGGAGGGUCCUGAACAUAAAGUAAUGCCCCGUUUUCUAGGAGGGUUCUAAACACAAAGUAAAUUUCCAUUUUUAGGAGGGUCUUGAACAUAAAGUAAAUUUCCAUUUUCCAGGAGGGUCCUGAACAUAAGUAAAUUCCCAUUUUCCAGGAGGGUCCUGAACAUAAAGUAAUGUCCCAUUUUCCAGGAGGUUCCUAAACAUAAAGUAAAUUCCCAUUUUCCAGGAGGGUUCUGAACAUAAAGUAAAUUCCCAUUUUUCAGGAGGGUCCAGAACAUAAAGUAAUGUCCUAUUUUCCAAGAGGAUCUUGAACAUAAAGUAAAUUCUCAUUUUCUAGGAGGGUCCUGAACAUGAAAUAAAUUUUCAUUUUCCAAGAGGGUCCUGAACAUGAAGUUAAUUUCCAUUUUCUAGGAGGGUUCUGAACAUAAAGUAAAUUCGCAUUUUCUAGGAGGGUUCUGAACAUAAAGUAAAUUCCCAUUUUCCAGGAGGGUCCUGAACAUAAAGUAAAUUUCCAUUUUUCGGGAGGGUCCUAAACAUAAAGUAAAUUCUCAUUUUCCAGGAGGGUCCUGAACAUAAAGUAAAUUCUCAUUUUUCGGGAGGGUCCUGAACAUAAAGUAAAUUUCUAUUUUUCGGGGGGGUCCUGAACUGAAGUAAGUUCUCACAUUUCAGGAGGGUCCUGAACAUAAAGUAAACAUUCUCAUUUUCUAGGAGGGUCUUGAACAUUAAGUAAAUUCUCAUUUUCCAGGAGGGUCCUGAAUAUAAAGUAAAUUCUAAACAAUAGAAAUUAAAAUUUGCUUUUUUCCCCUGUUUAUCAUCAAAAUCUUUUGCGGGUGUCAAACUUAAUCACAACUACUUGCAACAAUGCAUAAUGCAAAGAUGAAUCAAGAUUCUAAUCAACAAAUGCACCCUUUUGAGGGUAAAAUUACAUGGCUGAGACCAAAAAGUCCCUCUCUUAAGAGUGAAAGUGAAAGAUAAUUGCUAAAAGUACUUCUUUUUAGGAUUAACGACUCAAAUUAGGAAGUGCAUCUCCUAGCCAUGAGACAUGAAAGACCCAUAUUAGAGAAUGUGUAUCUUAGGGAUAAAAGAUAAUGAGUUUUACCAUAAUUGUGAUUUCCAAACCUGUACAGCAACAUCUCUUGCAUUUCAAGAAAUGAGGAAUUGUACCUCUAAAUAUUCGUGCUUUGAAGCCUUUGAUUUGAAGGUAGCAACUGUUCCUGUUUCAUACAAAGAAAACUUGUGAGUUUCAACAUGGUGGUUGACUUGCAGCUUUUGCUUUUGAGGAGAUUGCUCUUGCACUUCUGACAUUUAAUCUUGCUUCCAACUUAUGGCACAUCACUAUCAUGUUGUACCAUUGAUCCAAACUCAGGUUAUUAUGAGUGACUCUGAAACAAACACGAUAUCUUGGUUCUGCUAGGUUUCAGAAAAAUUUCUUGAACCUUGGUAUUUCCAUAAAUCCCCCAAACUUGCUUGUUGACAAAACUUUCUAUAUGCCUUGUUUCGGUUCACGAUCAUGCUUUUUUCAUGUACUGGCCUUUUUUGUCUUGCUUUGUGCAAUUGAAGAUGUUGGUAGCCAAUUUUGAAAUCUUUUCUCACUUGUUUCGACAUGUACUUGACUCAAAAGACAUGAGAAAAAAUUAUUUUUUGUUCGAAUGACAGACUCAAAAGAGCAAAUAUAGAAAUAUAAAGAGGAAAGAUUGAUCUGAAGGUCUUUCUUUGGUUGUAACUUAGCUUUCGAAUAAGGUUAGAAAGAAAUGAUAGCCUGAGGCCCAAACGACACUUGAAGUGGGGUAAGACUUACAACUUUUGAAAUCAACUCAAACAAUGAGGAUUAACUCAUGCCCCAAUUUAUUUUAACUGGGCAACUCAAAAUUAUUUAUUUGGUUGGACCGAGCCCGGAGUAGGGCAGCCUACAUAUCUUACCCACCGAGAGAGAAGAAUUAGGUCACGCCCUAGUUCUGACGGGUUAUUCUUUUGCUUGAUUCUGAAUUCUCUUCUUUUUUAAUUGACUCUUUUUUCUCUUUGAAAUCUUUUCUGACUCUAUUUUUCUUAAAACUCUUUUCUUUUCUUUCCUUUUUUUUGAGAAAUCUUCUCUCCUUUUUUUUAAACUCUUCUGACACUAUUCUUUUGCUCAACACUUUUCUUUGAGCUUUGCGAACUCUAUCUUGAUUCUAAAAGAGGGAUAUGAAAGAAAAUAAAACUAAAGCUCAAAUGGGGUAAAUAAAAGAUGACAUAAUAUUUGGAUAGCAGAAUGAAAUGCCUUCGUUAUACCAAUCCUUAAAAAUGCAAGUGCAUAACAUGCAAAAUGAAAAUGAGAAAUGAAGAUCAUUUGUGACACAUUUUAGAGCACUAACUUGCCCUAAGCAUCUGUGUUACUACUUCUGCACUUGUCCAACAUACAACUCCACAUUUAUUAUACGUCCCUCACAUCGAAUGACUCGUGCUUUGGUGGAGCUAGUUAUAUUCCUUUUUCUCUUGAUAUAGGAUCAUGCAUUCACUACUUGACCUAAUUGAGAUGUACCUUUCAAUUGACGAUCAAGUUAUUCUUGUGAUUCUCAAAAUAAUUGCCCUGAUUUUUAAAGAAGGCUUCAGCUUGAUCAUCAAAUGCCUCAACACUCUACCCAUUUUCUUAGAUGUUCUCUUUUCCUAACUUUAGCCCUCUGAUUCAAUGUUUAAUGAUUAAAACUGAAUUUUAAGAUCUGACUGAAAAUUCCACAAGCAUGUAAUAACACUAGAAUCCAACAUAAAAUGUAUUGUAUAAAGAAAACAAACAAACAACUUAAAAUAAGACAAAACGACAAGGGACACCACAUUUCAUUGAAAGAAAAAAUAGAAGGAUUUAAACAAAGACGAUAGAGAAACAAAACAAGAUAGAUUUCGAACUACAACACUGAAAUAAUUUGAAAAAAUAGAAAGAAAAACAAAACAAACUACCAACAAUCCUUUCAAGUAAGGAGAGGGGUGACUUCCAAAUUGUAGAGCUUGACAUCUUAGCCACUGAUUUGCAUAUCAUUAUGACUAAAGCUUUUACCGCUAUCCGACACAUUCCCUUCAACAAAUAAGUUCUGAAUCCUCAUGCUUGACACAUUGCUUCCCAUAUAUUGUGCAUUAUCAUGUGAUGGUGAAGGAUUUUAUGUGACCUUUGUAGUGUCAAUAUUUUGCACUACAAUUAAUUUUUCUUGGAUCAUCUUUUCUAUUUCUCUUUUCAAAGCAUUACAACCUUUAAUACUGUGACCCUAAACAUCAGAAUGAUAUACACAUCAUACAUGAGGAUUAAAAUUUCUUGAAUGUGGAUCAGGAGUACACCCAAGGAGAGGAGUGAUUAUGCCCAACUCUUUCAAUCUCUAGAAUAAAUUGGCAUACAACUCCUCAAUUGGUGUAAAAUUAUCCCUAGGCUUCAUGUUAAGAAAUUUUGGUGGUCCAAUUAACAUUGAUGUGGGCUCAGGAAUAUAACAAUAAUCAUCAAGAGUAUUGAACAUUCAUUCACUAGCAACCUGGGAAAGCACAACCGUUGGACGAAUAGCCAAUAUGGAAGCCUCAGUAGAGGCUUGAGCAAAAAAAUCACAAAUGAUAGAUGGUGCUAUUAUAUGACAUAUUUACAUCGAAAAGCUGGAGAAUGAGUGGUGAAAGCAUUAGGAUGCUUUUGUCUUGGAGUGAAUUUUGAGGCAUGUUGUUGUGCAUCAACAACAAUAAAAAAUUGACUUCGCAAUUGUGAUGGAAGACUAAAGGUAUUUGCGGGGUCAAUAGCAAAAAAUAGAGGGGGAGCCAACCUACUGACCCAAGCUAGGUGCAUUUUCAUAAUUUGUUGUCUUAGUUUCACAAUCUCUUGCUUUAAAUUCUCAUUUUUCUAACUCUUUGACUGAUCUAUGAUGUCACUCUCUAUAUCCUUAUUGGACAUGACUAACUCUUUUUUAGGCUUGGUGUGAUGUGGAGGACCAGCCACAAUGCCACAAACCAAUCACCUUAAACAAACUGAACAAGAGAUAACAAAUGCGUUAGAAUUCAACCCUUUCUCAAAAUCUUUUUCUUUUUUUUCUUUUGAAAAGAUCACUGAACCCAAGAAGGGCGCCUACGUAUCUCACUCUUGAGAGAAGAGAACCAGGUGUGUGUAGUUCAAGAAGUUUUGGUACAAUAUGGUUGAUCAAACUCUCUUUCUUUUUCUACUUUUUUUUUCUUUGAAACUUUGAAGAGAAAAAGAAAAUAACAAAUUGUCAAAAGAAUUGACGAAAAUAUUUUUUGAAUCUUUCAGUUUUAAACUCCUUAUAUAAAAUGAAACCUAUGAUUAUCAAAAUAUCUUUUUUUCUUGGGAAGGGGGGGGAGGGUCAAUUUUAAAUUUCAUACGAAAAUGAGACUUGAAACUAUUACAGAAAAAUCUUUUUGUAGUUUUCUUUUAAAAAAGGUAUAUGACAGCUACUCUAAAUGAAGAGUGAAGAAAAUGUUUUUGAAUUUUUUUUAAAUAUGAUCACCGAACCCUAGAAGGGAUGCCUACGUAUCCAGCCCCAAAGGAAAGAAUCAAGUGUACAUAGUUCGUCCAGAUUGGACAAUUAAGGAUUAAAAAACAAACUAAACCUUGACUUGAGAGACACGACUACAACUAUGAAAAUAAAAUCUUUUUGGGGUUUUCAAUUUGAUACUUCACAUAAAACUGACACCAACAAAUAUGAAAGAAAUUUUUUUUUGGUAUUUUUGUUAUAAGAGAUGUACAAAACUCCUACCAUCUUUAGAUUUUCUUUUAUAAAAAGCUCCUAUUAAGGAAAAAUCUUUCUUUGAAAUUUUAGAAUUAUGAAUGCUUACUAAAGAAACCAAAGAAAAAUCUUUUUGAUGUUUUUCUUUUUGAAAAAUGAGUACAAAAGAUUAAAAAAAAAUUAAAUUUUUGUUAAUUUGAGAAGAUAAAUGCAAAAGGUAAAAAAUCUUUUUUUGAAUUUUUGAGUUGUGAAGAACAAAAGCCAUAACAAACUAUAAAAAUAAACUAUAAAACUCUUUUUUGAUUCACCUUUUCUUCUUCUUUUUUUCCUUUUUUUCAAUAUUUUUUUUACUACACUCUUUACUUCUGACACAUAAUUUUUUCAAAUCAGUCCAUCAAAUGACCUCGUCACCCUAAAAAAUGCAUCAUUUAGAACGUAAGCAUAUUUUUAAGGUGAGUCUCCUAUAAAAGAUCAAGUGGGUCCCAUUAGGUCUCAAUAUGAUGCAGAUAAACAUGACCUAAAGGUUGACCUACGCUGGAGUUCACUAACAAGGUCGUUCGGGGAAGCAUAUGGCCGAUAGUGGCUGUUUUGUUUUUCACCUACUCCAUACAUCCGAUGGCUCCCCCUCCUAAAAUAAGGAUGACUCAACUAGAGUUCGUGUAUACUACGUGCACUCCGAAACUUGUUGUAGAAAAAAAUUGACUCAGGGUAUGUAAAUGAUGCCAGAUAUAAAACGGUAACACAUAAAAGGAAAAAUUGUAAACACGUAGCAAGUAGGCACUCAACAAUGAUAAAAUAAAUACAAACAAUAACACAAACGACGACUAUACACCCAUAACAUCAAACUAAGCCGAUAUAACUCCAAAAAUAAGCUCGACUUCUGAAAAGAUCCCCAGCAGAGUCACCAAACUGUCACACCCUCUUUUUAACCAAAAGAAAUAAUUUUAAGUUUGAAAAGAAUAUUAUUAUUAAGUGACAAAAGAUGAAAAUUCAUUUUGAAAAGGAUUUUUGCAAUUAAAUUCAGAGUCAUCACUUGAUAUAAAUCGGAUGUACCAAGUCACCUUUGAAAAUCCUUUUUCAAAAUGGUUUUUGACUCUUUCAAAACUGAUCCACGAACAAAGAUUUCAGGUAAGAAAUUCUGUUGAUCAAAAGAAAAGUGUUAAGCACCCCUCGAUCCCGUGGUUCGACCACGGUCGCUUUGCAGAGUAUAUCGGCUAUGUAGACACCAUAAAUCUAUAAACAACAAAAACACAAACAAGACAAACAAGCAACCAAACAAUCAAAAGUCCAAAAAAUAAUAUCCAGUUCAACUUAUUACAACCCAAAAUAAAAUAUUGAAAUUAAAACCUAAAGUAUUGUAACUAUCCUAGCUAUGCUUUACUCAAUGCCUCAAGCCUUGAUCACGAGCCUCCUCCGCGUACAAGAUACUUUGGGUCAUUCCCCAAUAAAUAAAUACAAAUGACAUUGAGGCAUUCUCCGACUAAAUGAAUACAUCUUUUCAAUGCGACAAAAUAAAAUCAUUCAAACCAUUCAAGCAUUCAACAAUCAUUAUUCCUAAGUCUUGACUACCCAAAGCUUACGACUUUCCUAUAAAUUUCGGCCUAUAACAUGAUACUAUUGAGUUCGACAAUAUAGUGUCCAUUUCAAAUUAAAUAAUAAUUUAAUGAAUUAAACUAACCGACAUCCACCUUUUUUAUCAAUUUUUCAUUCAUACCCCCACGAUUAACAAAUUUUGACUUAAAGUGACCAAUCAAACUACGAUAAUUACGGAUAAACUCAAACGCAUUCAAAUAAAUCACCAAAUCAUGUCAUCAAGCACGUUAAGAUAAAAAGAGUAGAGUUAAGAAUUAGGACCUUAAAAAUAAUUAAUUUUUGUUGAUAAUAAUGAGUUAAUAAGGCCCAAACUCAAAAUUUCGAAUAAAAAACCUCAACAGCAAACAAAAAUCCAACUCUUCAUCGAGAAAUAUAAUCUGAAUAGAUUUGACACCGACAGAAAAACCCUGAAUCAACGAUUUCUAAUCGACCGUAAACUAACCCACUGGAAUCAGAGUUGGUUGGCUGUUUGUGACUCACGGAGCUUUGGUAGACUACUUAGCCACGAACUGAGGGUCUCUCCGACUAGAUCUCACCAAAAAAAAGCCAAAAACAGAUGAGGGCUGGGGAUUUCAAGAAGCUGCGGGUGAUGGGAUUUAACAGGAACGCCGAUUUCGAUGAUAAACUCGCCGGAGACAGUCAACUCCAUCCGUUUUCCCCUCUCUCUCCAUUUUUCUCUUCUCCUCUGACUAGAUCUCUCUGUUUCUGUCUUACUCCAACCAGCUCUUUCUCUGUUUCUCUCUUACUCUUUGUCACUCUCUCUUUCUCAAUCUCUCCCCUUCCUCUGUGUGUGCGUAAAUAUUGUUUUUUGUUCUUAUAUGCAGGUGUAGGUAUUAUUGUCGUUCUGUGAGUGGGGUCUUCUGUGUGUGUAUAUAAAUUGUGUUAAUGAAAAUGUGGUCUGUGUCUUUUGUGAUGUGAGUGUAUGUGUAUGAUGAGAAAUAGAGGAUCUGUGGGAUUCUCUUCCAAUUUCCAUUGAAGUGUCUUUUCUUCUUUGUAAUGGGAAUUGUGGCUGUAUGAAUAUGGUGAGUGGAAGAAGGAAAAAAACCCAGGAAGAUGAUGAGUGUAUGUGUCGUGUAUGUUCUGUGUGUGUAAUAUUUUUUGUGUUGCUGUGUUAGUGAGUCUUGUGAUGUUGUGUAUUCUAGUGGGGUCUCGCCUCUCCUUGUGUAAGUGGGUAUGUGUAUUAGUAUUGUCUUUUUAGUCAAAGAAGAUAGAAAGAUAAAAUGGCAGUAGUAAGUCAAAGAGUUGUUGUGAUAAGGUGGGGGUAUGGGAUAGGUAGGGGUAGGUAAAUAGGUAAAAAUUAUUUUGAGAGGAACAAAAUUAUGUGUCUACAAUUAGUAGUAAUAUAUCAUGUUCGCCUGUUGUAACAAGUAAUUUGUCUAAUUUUUAGAAUUAUAAAUUUUACUUCGUACAAGAGAUAUAUUUAUAAAAUACAUUUUCAUCGAGCGAUUCUUGACUCCCUAAUUAAAAACUUAAGGAUCGUUUGGUAGCUGGUAAAAAAAAACUUAUUCAUAUAUUUAUUUUUUAUAAGUUUUACAAUGUUUGAC